rnacentral:lncRNA from 1 species
GAGUUAGCUGUGUUAGUUUCAUUAGUUAGUUAAUUAGCAAGAUUCCAAGUUAUUUAGUUCCUGGUUAGCAUGUUAGUCAGUUAACAGUCAGCUAGCAGGUGAGAUAAACUUGCAGAGGAUAAGGCGUAGCAGGUAAGCUAUGGUUUGAUAGGAGGCUGCGUAGGGGCUAAGUGAACUAGACUAGGAAUAAUGGCUGGGAGCUUCACGGUGGCUGUGUAGGAGCCACUACAGAGCAGUCUAACUGCUAGAGGUACUGGAGUGUAAACUAGGGGUCAGGUAGACUGACUGAGAGAUAAGAAGGUUCAGCCGUAUAUGCCAUAUAAGACACUUCAAGCUCAGUUAGUCAUACCCCUUCACAAGCUCCAAAGUAUAAUAGCUAUAAGGAUAGAGGAUAGAGCAGUAAGAAUUCGGCUGAGAAGGAGAAAGGACUAAGCAGCACAUCUCUAUAAUCUCUAAGCUAGCAAGGUAAUUCCAUUUCUAACUCCUUCCCUUCUUUUUCUAUUCCAUUACUAUCAAGCACAAACAGAACUGCCCUGGGCCAAAUGGCUUUGUUAGUAUACCUUGUAUUAAUUGUGAUUUUUAUAAUGAGUAUUAUGUGCAAGAUGGUGGUGUUUGAUAUAUUUGUCAUUAUGCUUGAUUUAUAGGACGAUCAUGGUUGUUUUAAAGCCAUAAGGCUGGGAUCACUAAGCUAAUAAUAUAAGUAAUGUAUGAAGAUAUGUAGACUGCCCACCAUCUGUUUGAUAAAGUGAUUCAAUAGAGGACUGAACUUCAAACUGUUAGUGAAUGAUUACUAAAUAGUAAAAACAACAACAUUGAUUUACUAUACAAUGUUAGUUUUGUUAAUGUUCUGGUUAUGUGAUUGAUAAUGCUUAAUAUGGCUGAGUGUAGCAUUAUAAUGAUUCUUGAUUAAGCCAUUUAAACCAAACAAGCCUUAUACAUUUAGGCUGAGUUAUUAAACGAUUGAAUAUGAACUGGAAUUUCAUUUACUAGCAGGAACCAUUGGGAAUUAAAUAAGAAACCGAAACAAAGGUAAUUUCUAUCUUAUUUUAAGUCACGUAAUUAGCCUAGUACUUGAUCUAAGAAGACAAGUGCUUGAUUACUAUUGACUGUUGUUUUCAAACUGUUAGUAUAGCUAUAUUAGAAUACUAACUGAAAAAUGGAGCAGUAAAUAUUUAAGAUUUCAUGAAAUUAGAGCUUUAUAGUUAUGUUCAUAAAGAUAUCUGUUAUGUGAUAAAUGUGUUCCUUGGCUGAGAAUUAUAAACUAGACUAAAACUGCUAUAAUGGCAAAACAGUAUGGCUGGGAAGGGAGUCCAAAAUGGUGGUUAAAUUCUAACAUAAAAUGUAGCUAUGCUUCAAGUAAACUCUCUGCCUAUGUAUACCAUGUAUUGGUGUAACACUUGAGCAAAACAAAGUAAAAAGGGACUGAAAUGGUAAGCUCUUUGCUAACUGUUAUUACAGGCUUGACUAGUAAUGACUAUAACUUGUUUCUAAUAUGGUUAGUAUACUAUAACAUGUAUCUAUAACUCCAAACAACUAAUGCUAACCCUUGUUAAGUUUAAAUAUGUUAGUUUUCAAUAAACAAAAAUCAGUCCUUGUGACUGUUAUUGGAAGUUUUCUUAUGAUGAUCAUGCCUUGAUUCUAAUAUAUUUAUUACAUGCAGUCCUUGUUUCCAUGUUGCCUAAUCAUGUUACCUUUGUACUUAGAUGUUUUUCAAAUCAUAUUACCUUGUAUUAAUUUAAGGCUUAUGAGGGGCUGUUUUGAACCAAAACUAGAAGCCUUUUCUGUAGGCUCUUUAAAUCAUGAACAUAUAUUAUAUAGCAUGUACAUGAUGUGAUAACCCUUGUGUUGAAAACUUAAAGACUGUUUUGAUGACCUAGUGCUGAACUUUACCUAAAAGGCCUGGAAUAAGCAUGAAUGACUGUUAUUAGGACUUUAGUUGCUAUACUAACUGUUAUUGUAUUAAAUGGAUUGGUAUGAUGUUGCAAUACUAUUAUGGACUGAAUUUAGGCACAAGGAGAUAGGAUGGGCUGAGAAGUAAUAAGGAGAACAAAAUGGGUUUAUGACAUAAAUAAAUGGCUGUGAAACUGGUAGCUUAAAACCAUGCCCACCAAUUGUUUGAUAAAAGUUCUAAAAGAACUGUUUUGGUAAAAAGAACUGAGUAUUAGAACAAGUAAGGCAUUGACUUGAUUUACCUGACAUAUGUGAUGAUUGAAGUGAUUUGGUAUGGUAAACUUUAGCAUGGUGCAGUUUUUACUAACUUUAGUAGUAAAAAGUACUAGCUUGACAAAUCCUUUGGCCACUGUGUUAAACAGUUGCUGAGCCAAGGAAUUAAAAACUUAAUAUCCCUUUGAUAGGCCACUGGGAUAACCUUAAAACUCUAGAGGAUAAGUAACUAGAGACCUGUGAAUGAAAAUCUAGAAAAGGGAUGUCCAUCAUAGGUUGAGGAUCAGGGAUGCUGCUAAUGACAGUAGCAAAUAGCUUUGGGUAGCUGCUAGUACAGACUUGGGAAAAACAGUUGGUUGCAUCCCUGUAGAAGGACAAAAUUCUGUAGAGAUCUUAAGGUUCUCAAAUAGGAUCAAGGAUUGCUACAAAAGGGUAGCAGUGAGUAGUAGAUAUAGCAGUUAGUACCAACCUUAAUCGAGUAGCUGUUGUACUUGGCAACAUCAAGUAAGUAACUGCAGUGCCAUUUUGGCAACUGAGUGACCUUACUGGCUUUAAUUUUUGUUGUGCUGUUAAUAGGUUAAAAAGUGUAGCCAAGUUGGAGACAUAUUGCUGCCCAAGGACAGUAACUAUCACCCAUACCAGUAGGCCAUUAAGCACCUCCUAUAAAGGGUCUUAGAUUGUCCAAUAGGGUGAAGUUAUAUGAAUGAUAUAUGUUAUGUCAACUGAUAGCUAACUUGAGAGUGAAAAUAUGAUAAAAAGGGAAUCAUGGGACUGCUAACAGUCAUCAAUAGAAGUGGCCUCAACUAAUUGCUAUUGCAGUGUUCAGCUUGCCAAACUCAGUUGAAGCUGAGAAUAAUUAAAUUCCUUAUUGUCCAACCUUAAUGACUGUUAGCCUCAUGAAAUAUUAUAAAUUCAGGGUAAAGCUUAGAGGAACAUGGAUUGGUAAAGAAGAUAGAGCUUCUGCCUUUAAGCAAUAGCAGUUCAUAACUGCUAUGAUAGUUUAGAUAGUCGAUUGGUAUUGAAAAUAAAAUUUGAAGAAAUAUGACAUAUAAUGUAAUUUUAAUUACCAAAGUAACCUUGUACACAAAGCCUGACUAAGCCCCAAAUGGCUAACCAAAGCUUGAUUGCCACAAUAGGUCAAGUUGGGACUGUUUUGGCAUAGAGAGGAAAAUUAAGAAUGUUACACUUUUGUAUACGAGAAUAAAGCUAUAAGGUGUUAUAAGAACUAUAAAUUACUCAAUCGAGUUGUGAAUAUUUUCAAAGGCAUAAAAUAAGUUACAAAAGCACCUUGUAUGCUAGAAUUUCUGUAAACAAGGCAUGAAACACUCAUGUGUUAAAAUCCUAAUAGGAUGUAAACUAUAUAUAUGUUGUGUGUGCAUGUUAUUAUCAUACUAGACCCCAUUAAAGAGAAAAAUGGUUAUGAUACGAACAUGGAUGAGAUAUUUGAAAAAUGUAUCAAAUAUAGGAAUCUAACUACAACCAUGAUCACUGAAACUAUGUGAUAUGUGAGCUUACAAACUAUAUAACUUGGCUAUUUGGCUAACAUGCUUGUUAAUGUAAAUAACUGUGUAGGAUUUGUGAGAACACUACAAUUAAGCUGAAUUCUUAACAAUAGACUACAAACAAGGCAAGUUUCUAAUUCUUACUCUUUAUUGAGCAAGUAUUCUACAAUGGACAGGUUUUUUAAUUUCUGAACUGUCUCUCAUUAUUUAUGAAUAAUAUAAGGCUAAAUAACCUUUUUAUUCCAAUCAGCUUCAAAAGAAUAGUAUAUUGAACUUCUCUCUUACAUAAGUUUAUAUUGAAAGUAUGUCAAUGCCAUUAUUUCGGUUAGACAACUGUUGAGAUACAUUGAUAUUAUUCAUGAAAAUAUCAUUUAAUGUUCUCCAAACCAUUUUGUUGUGGUGCGGACUCUUGUAUAAUGAUGUGAACGAACAACCCUUUUAUAGGGGCAUAUUGUACUGGACAUAUGAUUCUGAAGGACAUGUGAAGUGUCAUUAGACUGUUAUGUUGUGCACAAUGUAGGGUACUUAGGCUGAUCCCCUAAAGUACGAGUCUAGGAUAUAGAACAGCUUUUAUAACUGUUUGUAUCCAUGGAUUGCAUUAUUAUUACUAUCAAAUCUAGUACAGAGUUCACUAGUCAUUUGACCUUACAACAUGCUAAAGCCUGAUUUUCAGACUCAACACUCGUAAAGAAUUAUCAUGUUCGAUAUCUAUUAAAUUGUAUCCUCAUUGUUAUAAUAUUUAUGUUCCAUUAUAUUUAACUGCUUAUUUCCUUGCUGAGCAAGCUGUUGCUCACCCUUACGUUAAAUAUAAUAUUUUCAGUUAAAACUAAGGUUGUUGGACCAUCUGGGAAAGACAAAGGAAAAGGCAAAGUUGUUGAAUAGUCCUUUAUUAAGCGCAUGUGUUUAUUUGAACUUAAGUAGUGAAUAUAAUAAAUACUGUUAGCACUAUGUUGUGUAAUGAUAUUUGGAUUGUAAGUAUGUAAAGGUCUAUAGAACCUGGGAUUUAAGUUCAAUGCUUAUGUAAUAUAAGACGAUUUUCUUUUAGUAUGAAUGGGUAUAUUAGUAUCGUGAGCACCAAACCCGAGUUAAAGAUAACCCGGAUUUGGGGGCGUCACAUUGACAAAGUCAAAGACUAUACAUGUUAUACUGCUUAGGAAAGAAAAUUGAAGUUCAAAUCAAGAACUAUGCAUACAAAUGAAACAAUAAUUACUCCAACACAUCAAUACAAAUUAAGGUUCAACAAUGGGGUUAUUCUGCUUUAUUUUUACUCACGAGGGCGAUUUUGGCACUUUUCCGCGGUGUUUAUUGAUUUCUUUAUAUAUAUAUAUAUAUAUAUAUAUAUAUAUAUAUCCUAUGACUGUGCAAUUCCUCAUUCCAUUAGGCUAACAGUGCUACCCCUUAGCGAGCUUUCAACCAAUGAAUAAAGACCUUAGGACGCUAGGUGUAAAGACAAUCCCCUCGGGCGUACUUGCUCAAGUAACGAAGGCCCCGAAACAAGACUAGUCAUGAUAAUUAUUCAUUUUUUUAUAGCAAGCAUACCCAUGUGUUCCCAAAGUUUGAAUAUCAGUGUUUUCAUAGUCAAUGUUCACUUCCUACACAAUUCUAUCUUUAAAAACAACGUUUUCUUCUCAGUAGGCAAACAAGUUAUUCUUUUACCAACAAGCAAACAUGAACACUAAUGUGCUAACCAGUAGCAUCUAAACAACAAGCAUAAAUCUUAUCAUGUAUAACAUUAUAACUCAGCUCAAGCCAUCAACCUAAUUCAAGAAUCCAUCAAAUUUCUUACUUCAUCAUUGGCUACACUAGAAUUCCACUAACUAGAUACUUUGGAUUAUGCAUUAUUAUUCAACUAAACAUAUAAACUAAACAAAUAAUAAGCAAGAAACGGAAAAAAAAAACUACAAAAUAAAACAAAACAUAUUAACAUGCAAAAACUAUACUAAACAUGGAUAAAUGAUAUGCAAUUAUACUACAUGCUCUACACUACACUACUAAUCACCCAAUAUCCCCAAACUUAUCAUAUUCAUUGUCCCCAAUGAAUGAAGGUAAAGGGAAAAGAGAACUCCCCUAAGUGUCAGCAUUACCACCCUCCUCGGGUGGUGAGUCUGGCGGUGGAGAAGGCACGACUGUACCAAACUGAGGCCACUCUAGCAUUAUUCCUUGUUAUGCAAAGGCUUCAACUAAUGACCGCGAUAAUCCAUUUGCGAACGCUAAAAAGUUAUCAUACAUGGCGUCCACUUUUCUCUCCAAUCUCCUAAGUCUGCGAUCAUCAUUUGCUGUAAUGGCAUGGGAUGAAGGUGCUGCUUCAGUUGGCUGCGGAGACGGUACCAAAGAUGUUGCUGGAAGAAUAAAGCCCUUGCCCCUUGAAUGCGGUGUGCCUCUUGCCCAAUCCUCAAACUUCGCGAUAGUGGCAUGGGUGAUGUCUUGGCUUGGAUACUGCAACUGCUCAUUUGCCCAAGUAACUCCCGCUCGUGCACAUAAAUGGGCUACAACUGAUGCGUGUGGGAUGCUGCCUAUGGUGCUCCCCCUUAUGUAGCAGAGCAUGUUUUGGUUGAGGAGGUGGCCCACGUUUAUGUAUUUGCCCCUGAUGAGUCCCCAAAAAAUGAUAGCCCUGUCAGACGGGAUUUCAUACUGGUGCCUGGUUUGUAAUUCCACUGCAUACCAGGCACGCAUAAAUCAGUUAUCAUCCUAUCUAAGUUGGUCUCAAACUUAGCUGCCUCCACCCAGUUGGCACGUCUAGUCAGCGGGUCAGGUAAGUUGAAAACUCCUCUAAUCGCCUGUGGGCGAUAAUCCACUUGAACACCCCUAAUAAACGAUAGCCCACUCAUAGUUUCCUUAGCUUUGGCGUAGAACUCACGUACAAUAGCCAUAGGAGUAGGCAUGGGGCUAGACACCACUCCAACUAAUCCUCUCUCUCAUAUCAUUUCGCAGAGUUGUUCAUCCUAUUUCCAAGGAUUAAACCCUCGUUCCUUCACAAAAGUUUUAGCCACAAUCCUAUAAUACUCCAUCUAAGCAUCUAGGCUGACAAACUUGGUGAGGUCCAAGAUGUCUUCACUCUGACUGCUUAAAGAGGAUGACUCAGGGGUACGGGAACGUGCUCUUUUUGGAUGCAUAGAGAUUACUGAAGAAAAACCCUAAAUAAUUUGAAAAGAGGAGAAAUUGACUGAUGGAAAUACGCUCUGUAUACUAUGAAGACAACCCCUAAAUUUGUUGUGUUCCACUUCUCUGACAAACCCUAGGCACAACUCUGUAACUGAAUGGCUGAUAUGUAGAGGAGGUUGAGUGUGGGAAGAAAAACCAAAGGAAUAAGAAUCGUGGUGGGGUUGGAAACCGUUUGUAGAAGUUGAAGGGGGCUAAGCUUCAGUUUUGAAAGGAGAUGGGAAUGUGCACGUCUAAAGGAAGUUAAAACUGAUAUAUAAGAAGUGGGGAUGGGUCAUGUUUUAAAACAUUUAACAUUAUCUGGAACCGGAAUCAGUCGCGGCUGCGCCGAAUCUAAGCAUAUGUGUGGCGCGGGCGCUGACAUGGCGCGAACGUGCUGAUGUUAGGCGUAUGAUUGGCGUGGGCGCGCUGAAGGUCAAAAUACAUGGAGGUUAGGUGCGGGAGCGCCAAAUUUUUACUACCCAACCGCGCAGUCGCGUUGCCCUGAACCCAGAAAUGAACUGAUUUGCCCUUAAAGAAGUAAUAAGCAGCCAUUGACACUCUUCAACUAACCUGCAUAUCAAGCAUUUACAAAUAUGAGAUAUACCAAUUCCAAAAUCAAAAAUUUGUACUGUAUAACAUGUAUAAAUUAUUGUAUAUCCAAAAAUGCUCUAUAUGUUAUUCCUAUCAAAAAUGAUAUGUGCAUUCAGCUCUAACAAAACUUGUGCCAAAAAUUUUAUAAUCUCAAGAAUUAAACCUGGGGGGGAGAAAUAAACAUGAACAAAUAGAAUUAAACUUGAAGAAGAAAUAGAUAUGAUGCACAAAGAAUUAAACAUGAAGAGAGAAGAGAAAUAAUGGGUUGCCUCCCAUUGAGCGCUAAUUUAUAGUCAGUUAGCUUGACUAUCUCUGCUCUGAUCAAGUUGUAGAAAGAAUUGAGGCAACCUUCUGCUUGUCAACCUCACCACUAUAGUAAUGCUUAAGCCGCUGUCUAUUGACCUUGAAGGGCUUGUCUGGGAACUUGUCAAAAAUUUCUAUUGCACCAUAUGGAUAUACAUUCUUCACAGUGAACAACCCUGACCACCUUGACUUGAGCUUCCCUAGGAAGAGUUUUGAGUCUGGAAUUAAACAAUAAAACUUUUGCUCUGGCUCAAACACCCAUUCCUUAAUCUUGCGGUCAUGCCAUCUCUUCAUAUUUUCCUUGUACAAUUUUGAAUUUUCAUAGGAUUGUAAUCUAAAUUCAUCCAACUCAUUGAGUUGGAGUAGGCGUUUUUCUCCUACAGCCUUCAAGUCAAAAUUCAGUUUCUUUAUCACCCAAUAUGCUUUGUGUUCGAGCUCCAUUGGAAGGUGACAAGCCUUUCCAUACACCAGCUGAAAUGGCAACAUACCCAACGGUGUUUUAUAGGCAGUCCGAUAAGCCCAUACCGCAUCAUCUAGCUUCAGCGACCAGUCCUUCCUCGUGGGAUUCACAAUCUUUCCUAGUAUUUUCUUCACCUCACUUUUCAAUACAUCUGCUUGGCCAUUUGUCUGGGGGUGAUAAGCAAUAGCAAUUCGAUGACUCACCCAUACUUAGCCAACAGUGCCGUGAACUGACGAUUACAAAAAUGGCUUCCUUCAUCACUAAUGAUUGCCCUGGGAGUCCCAAACCUCGUGAAAAUACUCUUUUGAAGAAACCUUAGAACCACCCUAGCAUCAUUUGUUGGUAAAGCUACCACUUCCACCCACUUGGAUACGUAGUCGACUGCCAAUAAAAUGUACAAGUUCCCACAUGAUGAAACAAAAGGCCCCAUGAAGUCUAUUCCCCAGACAUCGAAGAUCUCUACCUCGAGGAUUGUAUUCAAGGGCAUUUCAUUCCUCUUAGAUAUGUUCCGUACUCUCUGGCAUCUGUCACAUUUCUGAUCAAAACUAUAAGCAUCUUUAAAAAUAGUUGGCCAGUAAAAACCUGCUUGUAGAACCCUGGCCGCUAUCAUUUCCCCUCCAUAGUGACCUCCAUACACUGAUGCAUGACAAUCCUGCAAUAUACCCUCUAUCUCGCUAUAUGGAAUGCACCUUCAUAUCAUUUGGUCAGAACACUGCUUGAACAAGUAUGACUCAUCCCACAAAUAAUUUCACAUCAUAUAGAAACUUCUUCUUUUGAUGCCAAGUCAAGUCAGAAGGGAUUAUCCUGCUCACUAAGUAGUUUGCAUAGUCUGUGAACCAUGACACUUUGCCUUUCACCAUGAAUAAUUGCUCAUCUUGGAAGGACUCAUUGAUCAAAACUUUGUCGUUUACAUCCCUUCCUAGAUUUUCCAAUCGAGAUAAGUGGUCCGCCACUUGAUUCGCAGUCCCUUUCCUGUCCUUGAUUUCUAAAUUAAAUUCUUAAAAAAGAAGUAUCCACCUGAUCAGAUGAGGUUUAGCAUCUUUCUCUGCCACCAAAUACCGGAUUGAUGCAUGGAUUGUGUACACAAUUACUCUAGUCCCAAUCAAAUAGGCACGAAACUUGUCAAAUGCGUACACCACUGCUAAAAGUUCCUUUUCUGUGGUCGUGUAAUUCAACAGGGCAUCAGUAAGGGUCUUGCUCACAUAAUAUAUAACAUGGAAUACCUUAUCCCUACGCUGGCCUAAAAUAGCUCGCACAGCAAAGUCACUUGCAUCACACAUCAACUCAAACGGAAGGUCCCAAUCUGGUGCAGUAAUCACUGGUGUUAUAGUUAACUUCUUCUUCAAAUGCUCAAAUGCAUUCAGGCAUUCUUCAUCAAAUUUAAACUAUACAUCCUUCUCUAACAAACUGUAAAGUGGCUUCGUGAUCUUUGAGAAGUCCUUUAUAAACCUACGGUAGAAGCUUGCAUGCCCCAAAAAACUACGAGCACCUUUAACAGAAGUAGGUGGAGGCAAAUUCUCAAUGGUUUUCAAUUUAGCUCGGUCCACCUCUAAUCCUUUCUUAGAAACUUUGUGUCCCAAUAUUAUACCUUCUUGUACUAUAAAAUGACACUUCUCCCAAUUUAGAACCAAAUUCGUCUCAACACAUCUUUUUAACACCAUUACCAAAUUUUCCAAACAUAGGUCAAAUGAAACUCCAAAAAAUUGAGAAGUAAUCCAUAAAGACUUCAACAUUGUGCUCAACCAUAUCCGAAAAAAUUAGCCAUCAUACACCUCUAAAAUGUGGCCGGGGAAUUGUACAACCCAAGAGACAUCCUUUUGAACGUGAAUGUUCCGUAUGGACAAGUGAAGGUAGUCUUUUCCUGGUCUUCUGGAGCUAUCAUAAUUUGAUUAUAACCCGAGUACCCAUCCAACAGGCAAUAGUAUUCGUGACCUGUUAGCCUGUCCAACAUCUGAUAAAUGAACGGAAGGGGAAAAUGGUCUUUCCUUGUAGCCUUAUUUAGUCUGCGGUAGUCCAUGCAGACUCUCCACCCUGUCACUAUCCUGGUCGGUAUUAGUUCAUUUUUCUCGUUCCCUUUCUUCGACACACACUAUACCAGGCUCACCCAAGAGCUUUCUGAUAUUGGAUAUAUUAUCCCUGCAUCUAACUUCAGAACUUCCUUCUUAACCACUUCCUUCAUAAUUGGAUUCAAUCUCCGCUGUUGUUCCACUGAAGGUUUACUAUCAUCUUCCAGCAGGAUCUUGUGCAUACAGAAUGAUGGGUUGAUCCCUUUGAUGUCUGCUAUGGUCCAUCCUAUCGCUUAUUUGAACUCUCUUAGAACUCGUAACAGUUUAUCUUCCUGGAAAGAUGUUAGUGCAGAAGAAAUAAUAACAGGUAACUUUGAACAAUCAUUCAGAAAUGCAUACCUUAAGUGGUCAGGAAGAGGUUUCAGUUCAAGAUCUGGAGCCAUCUCAAGAGACGGCUUGAGUCGUGCUGAUGUCUCCCCAGAAAGCUUGAGUGGCUUGAUAGGAGUCUUGAAACUUCGAAAGUGUGCCAUUGUGUCAAGUAUCUGUACAAAUUCUGCAAUUUCAUUGUCUUCUAUUUCUGAAUCCCCCAAUAUAGCACUCUUCAAAGGCUCAUUUUCCACCAGAUUUCCAACUUCCUCAUUCAACAUCUUGUCUACCAUAUCAAUCCGAAAGCAUUCUUCCUCGUCGGUAGGAAACUUCAUAGCCUUAAACACGUUGAAGGUGACUUCUUGAUUAUGAACCCUCAUUGUCAACUCACCUUUCUGAACAUCUAUUAAAGUUCAUCCCGUGGCUAAGAAAAGUCUCCCCAGAAUUAUUGGUAUAUUUCUAUCUUCUUCGUAAUCCAAAAUGAUGAAGUCAGUUGGGAAGAUAAAUUUAUCCACCUUGACCAAUACAUCUUCCACAAUACCCCGUGGAUAAGUGAUGGAUCUGUCAGCAAGCUGUAGAGUUAUAUUUGUCGGCCUUGGAGCCGGCAAUCCCAACUGAAUGAAAACUGACAGAGGCAUCAAAUUUAUACUCGCCCCUAAGUCAUAUAGGCAUUUAUUGAAAAACAUUUUUCCAAUGGAGCAUGGUAUUGUGAAGCUGCCCGGGUCCUUCAGCUUUGGAGGUAGCUUACGUUGUAGCACUGCACUACACUGUUCUGACAAGGCUACUGUCUCAAAAUCCUCUAAUCGUUUCUUCCUUGAUAAAAUUCCCUUCAUGAACUUUGCGUAGCUUGACAUCUGUUCUAAUGACUCUGCGAAGGGUAUAUAUAUCUAUAGCUUCUUGAAUACCUCUAAAAACUUGGAAAAUUGUUUAUCAUUUCUUUGUUUCUACAAUCUUUGUGGAUGUGGAACAAGAGGGUGAACAAGUGGUGGUUUGGUUAUUGGUUUCGCAGGUAACUCUCCAUUAUUCGUCUCCUCUAACCUCUGUUCAGAACCUUCUUUUAACAAACCAUCAUCAGAGCCAUUUUCCUCAUGGCGCGGCCGCACGACCUCCUCUUGUAUAAUUGGUGUGGGCGCGCCGGCCUGUACAUCUUCCAUUUGCUUCUCUGAUCUUAGUGUAAUGGUCUGACACUGCUCUUUUCCUUCCCUUCUUGGAUUUGUUUCUGUAGUACUUGGCAAAGUCCUUUGUGGUCUAUUGUUCAAUAUAUUGGCCAUUUGGCCCAUCUGAGUCUCCAAAUUCUUUAUAGCCACUGCUUGGCUCUUUAUCAUAACUUAUGUAUUAGCCAUGUACUUAAGCAUCAUCUCCUCCAUUUUUGACUUCUUUUCUGGCUGAGGUGCAGGUGGUGGAUGAUGUUGUGGUUGUUGUUGGAAUCCAGGAGGGUAAGGUGGUUUGGGUGCAUAUUGUUGGUGAGAUGGUUGGGGUUGGUAUUGAUGUUGAGACUAAAAUUGAUGUGGUUGUUGAUGUUCUUAGUUGUUUUGAUUGUUGUUCGAGCUGAAAUUGGGAUGGUUGCGGAUGUUGGGGUUAUAAGCAUUCUAAAACCGAUUCUGGUUCUUUUGGUAGUUGCUCACGAAUUGCACUGAUUCUGAACUAAUAGCACACUGGUCGGUUUGAUGUGACCCCACACAUAUCUCGCAUACACAAGCAACUGGCUUGACCUUGUUCUCCCUCAAAGAAUCAAUCUUCUUCACCAUAGCUGCCAUAUGAGCUGACAAUUGUGUAAUGGCAUCCACCUCUAACAUUCCCGCAACUUUAGGUUGUGGCAUCCUGACCGUAGUAUUUUAAAAAUCAUUUGCUGCCAUAGUCUCAAUGAGAUCAUAUGCUUCUUCAUAACUUUUGGCCCAUAAGGCUCCUCCCGUAGCAGCAUCUACUAUUGGCCUUGACUGCCAACCCAAUCCAUUAUAAAAAGUUUUUAUAACCAUCCAAUUAGGCAUUCCAUGAUGGGGGCAUUUCCUUAGCAUUUCUUUAUAUUGUUCCCAAGCUUCAUAUAAUGACUCUCCUUGUUGCUGUUCAAACUGGGAAAUCACGGUCCUCAUUUUUGUUGUCUUAGCCAUAGGGAAAAAUUUGGCUAAGAACUUCUGCGCUAAGUCCUCCCAUGUAGUGAUUGACCCCGAUGGUAAUUAAUGGAGCCAACUUCUAGCCUUAUCCCUUAAGGAAAAUGGAAACAGCCUUAGCCUAAUUGCAUCUUCUGACACCCCAUUAUACUUAAAGGUGUCAUAUAUCUCUAUUAAGCUCAAAAAAUGCUCAUUCGGGUCAUCUGUAGCAGCACCGCCAAAUUGAACUGAAUUUUUCACCAUCUGUAUCGUGCUCGGCUUAAUCUCGAAGGUGUUUGCUGCUAUAGCUGGCCUUACAAUGCUCGACUGCAACUCAUUAAUCUUAGGCAUCGAAUAAUCCCUUAUGGCUCUAUGUUCUUCUUUAGGCUCUUCUGUCAUAUUAGAUGAUGAAGUUUCAGUAUCUACUUGUGUAUUCUAACGUGCUCUCGAUCUCCAAGCUCUACCGUUGAUAUUAUCCUAUGCAGGUAUCAACUCAGGAUUAGACGAUCAUGUGUGCAUAUAAUGUACACAAGUGCCUGAAAUACAAACAAAAGUAAAAUAGAAAUGAGAUAAGAAUAGAAUUGUUCAAGUUAAACAAAUCUAGUUUUAGUUGAUGACGACAGUAUUAAAAAUAAAUGCCUCUCCCCGGCAACAGCACCAAAAACUUGUUGCUUCUGUUUCGGUUUAACAAAACAGACUCUAGGUCAUGCAAGUAUACACGGGUCAACAAGUAACAGAGUAAGAGAGUAUCGAUCCCACAAAGAAAGGUGAAUAAAUCUAUGCUAUCAUGCAACAACCUUAUCACUAUUUCUGUAUGCUCAAACGAACAAUAAACAAGUAAAUUUAUAUAACACAAAAAUACUAAUUACUAAAAGUAAGGUAAUCAAAGUGGAGAAAUAUGGGAUCCUAAUAUCAUUUAAUGUUUUAUCCAAAAUGUAUGCCUCUUGUUAUGCUUAAUUAUUUAAUAUGGACAGCUAGUCGAGAGCACAGAAGUGAAACAUAACCAUCUUUCGACGUACUAUGUUCAAUUCACACAAAAUCCACAAAUGAUAGAAUUCAUAUAAGUAUCACAAUUACCUAACUCACUAUAUAUCUAUGUGAAUUACAGGUAAUAAUGAUUUAAGCACAAGCUCUCUCAAUGAUUACACAUGGUGAACCGGUAUACACCUAUUCGGGUCACGAAUCACAAAACCUAACACAUUUAAGUCUCAUGAACAUAUGCCAACAUGGUCUAAUCUGUACUUAUACUUCCUUUUCCAAUUCCAUACAAGUAAUUAGGGUGAAUGGUGAUCAAGCAUUCAAUAUUUUAGCACAACCAUGAUGGGCAAUCCAAUAUUAAACAUACAAACAUCAUAAACAGGCAUACAAGUAUGGACUACACAUUAAAAUCCAUUAGAAUCCCAUAAUGGAAAUUAGUUCAUUGCUGAAUCAACAGCCAUUAUGGGAUUGAAGCCAAACAUUGAAAUAAGAAAUGAAAACAAAGAGAUUUUAGAGAAAUAAGGAAUCAAAUCUGAUAAAAACCCAGCUUCAAAGUCUGAUUCCAAGCUAGUUCAGGUCCACAUUCAUCAACAAAAUCAAAACCAAGUAUUUACAAGCAAUAAUCUAGAGAGAGAAGCACAAAGAAAUAGAGAAAUCCUAUGAAUUCUCUCUAGAAUACCAAACCCUAAUAAUAGUAAAUAAAAUUUGUUUAAUACGUCUUUUGAAACCAACAAAUAUAUCCUAAUAUAGCAAACAUGCUCUAGCAUUACAAAAUAGAAAGUCAACAAUUUAAGUCAAAGUGUGACUAGCGCGGCCGCACGGUAUCACAGUGUAAUUCGGGCGCGGGUGCGCUACAUAUACUGCUGCCGAGUGCUUGGCGCGGGCGCGCCGUGUCCCUUUGAAAAUUGAGCGCGUUCACGCGCUGGCCUUGUCUGCGUCUGAUCUCCCUCUGGCGCGUGCGCGUGUCUAGCCUAUAUGGCCGCGCUGCUGCUGAAUGCUGUUGGACUACUAUUGUUUGCUUUCUUCUUCUUCUUUUUCUUCACUUCUUUCUUCUUUAUUUGGCCACAUCAAAGCCCUUAUAGCUGUCCUCCUCACCUGCUUAAACUCAUCUACUUCCUCCAUCCUAGCCAUUGCUUGCCACUAUGCCAUUUCUAUGACUUGUCAUGCCUUCACCAUGCCAUUUUCAUGCCUUAGGAGUUCCAACUAUGCACACUGCAAAACAAACAAAAAAAGCAAAUAAAACAUACCAAAAAUACUUGAGUUGAGCAAAAUUUCAGUGAGUUGGUAACAAAUAAAUAGGUAUAAAACUUACUUAUCAUACGUUAUGCUCGAAACUAAACCACUUAAAUUGAACAUUUUUGCCUGGUGCUUGUAUACUAUGAGUGUUCUUGGUUUUUCCCCAUUUUUAACGAUUCUAGCUAGUGGAUUUAUUUACUUACAAAAAACUACUUUGACAAGAUUGACAAAGAAACUAGAUAUAUAUAAUCCCAUAUACCGUUAUUGCUUCUUCUCAAAGAAAAGAUGUUCACGACCCCUGGGACUUCUACCUCUUAUACACAUUUAACAAGGUUGAUUUAAAUUUGACAAAAUUGGGGGUUGAUGUAACGACCGAGAAAUUUUUACUUGGCUUAUAAUUAAGGUUUAUAAAAUAUUAUUGAAUAAAAUGAAAUUUUAUGAAUAUUAUUCUGUGAUAAGUGUUUAAAAGUCGAUUCUAUGACCUCAAAUGUGUUUGCAUGCUAGGAUUUACGAAUUUGAGUUCGUAUAAGAAAAUAAAAUUUUUUCGAGAAAAAGACAAAAAAACACUAGUCACCCAAAAACGCUUUUGCGCUUUUUUCGAUUUUUCGAAGAACGUGCUAACAUUAAUAUAACGAGAAAAGAUGGAAUAUCCAAUAAAAUUUGUAAAUGAAAAAUGCAAUUUUUCGACUGUGUAAUGAAUUUUGGAAGUUAAGAAGGUAUAAUACCGAUAUAAUACGAAAAUUAUAUGAUAGGAAUACAAAAGUCAAAAAUCAAAUAUUACGACUAAUUAGACAGUUGGAGAAACCAAACCGAGUGAAGAAGACCAAGUUAGGAUAACUAAACCCUAACUUGAUCCACAUGACUCGAAAUGUACCAAAGGGGGGAGGGAGCUUGUCAAGCAAGCUUGCUAUCCCAUCCCCCACCACUAAACCAUGGUUAGACAAUGGUUAAGCUAGCCAAAUGACCAAAUUUCCAUAACCCUUGCUUCACCUAUAAAUAACAAGUCAUUUCUCUUCUAAACCUCACCAAUUCACAAAGCAAGAAAAGAAACUUUAGGCAUUUUGAGAGAGAAGUGAGAGCCCUGGAAAUUCAUAAGUUUCGAAGGAGGAACGCAAGAUCAAACCAUCCAUUAAUUAAGAAUGCAAAGAGAACCAAAAAAGUAAGAUCGAGAACUCUAGCAUUUCGUUUAUUUAAACUCUUUGAAAAUAUAGAACGAAGUGUUUUGUUGGUGGUUGGAUGAUUCAUGUGAAUCAUGAGUGAUUCGAAGAGAUAAGGAAGAAAUAGCGGACUUAAAUCACUAAUAUAUGUAUGCAAAGUGAAAUCGUAGUUAAAAUAACGAGCUAAACGAAGAACGAAUCAAAAACAUGUUAAUUGUCGUAUAAACGAGUUAUUUGAAUUGUAGUUCAUAGCCUAACAAUGGUAAUCCGAUAAGGAGGAUGAUAUUAGUAGUGUAAAUCACGAAAAUAUGCAUGAUAAGUGGAAUCGUAAUCAUAAUAACACACUAAACCAAGAAAGCAUGAAAAUCAAGUAAUUGUUGUUGAAUGACAAGUUUAAAACCAUUAUUUGUAAGUUAGUUUUUAAUAUCCAAAAAGAAGGAAAUAAGCAUGUAUGAGUUGUUGAAAUGUUCCAAUUGGAAGAAAGUAAAAACAUGUUAUAACGAAGUUAUGGCGACAAUUUAAGUAAAAGACGUUAAACGUCGAAAUCCUAGUCUGGUAUGAUUUUCGAAUGAAUUUAUAAAGCUAGUUAAUGAUUAUGAAUAACGAAGAUUUUGUGGGAAUGGUAUACAUUAUAGUAUAAUUGAGUUAUGGGCUCAAGAACAAGCUAAUUCUAAUUUCGGAUGAGUAAGUUACGAAAAUUUGAAAAUUUAAACCUUAAGAACGUUAAGUUUAAAAACUGAGCGACGAGGGAUUUUUGAGCCGAUUGAAAGACUUGUUAGAAAAUUCAAAAAAUAAUUCCAUCCAGGGGGACUUGUAGUAUGUAGUAAGAGCAAGAAAUUGGCUCUUGAACGAAUUCAUUCCGAGGUGGGAUGAUAAAGUUAUGGAUUUGUGAAGUCGUUGCCAAAAUCAUUUGUGCAAAACUUAAGCUUGAAAAACUAAAAACCUAUACCGGCACCACAUCGCCGCUAUUUUAGUUCAUUUCGGUCGUCGCAGCGCCCAACUACUGUAUCUGGGGAAGGACAAUGUUGCAACGCCGGUUGUAUGCUUAAUCCAGGAGCACAACGCCGGGUCAGGUCAAAGCCCAGUAAUGAGUUAUUUUGAACUCAGAACUUGGGAUAGUCUUAUAGAAUAAUUUUAUUUAAACUAAUGUAUCACAAUAACAAGUCAUUAAAACCUUACCUAAUGGUUGAAGGUUAAUUGAAAAGACGAACAAUAUUAAGUGUAAAACACUUAACUUAAAUCAAAGAGUGUUAUGAAAGGUUGUGGGAUCGUGCUAAGCAUGUGCAAAGGCAUGUGGCUUGGGUGUUCGUGAAGGCUAUUAUGGCGUACGACGAACGAAUGCCGAAACGCCAUAACAAGUAAAAACAAACAUGAAAAGUGCUCCAAGUCUAAUGACACGGUCAUGAAGAGUAAUAAGUAGAGUUGACGUAAACCAAACUUGGUGUCAUUAUGUGCCUAAUUGAUGUGUUAUGGUUAAUGUAAAUGUUUAGGACAUUUGAAGGACGAUUAUCGUCAAUAUUAUAAAGAACGCUUAAGGCAAGUUUCCUAAAUUUACUCUGAUUUUAUUGAUCAAGUUUUCUAACUUCAUCUGAAUAUAUUCUCAUGAAGCUUGUGUAAUGUUUUUAAAGAUCAAAUGAACACAAUUCUUAUAUGUUUGUGUGAAUUACAUGCUUAUGUAAAUCUUAGUAUUUGUACAAGUAUUCAAGCUAUGUUAUGACAUAAAUUGUUAAAGUUCGAUAUCCAUGAACAAUCUAAGGAAGUGUUGAUGUCAUUUGUUUCGGCUAGACAAUUGUUAAAAUAAUUUAUUGAUUUGAUAUUAAAUCUUUGAAAUAUUAUUGAUGUUAAAUAGAGCUUUCCAAACCAAAUUAUUUUAGUACGGAUUCAAAGGUAAGCCUAAGGAUGAACGAAUAAAUGUUUUGAUCGAAUUUUUCGGCUGAUACACAAGGUGUCAAAAUUAAACACAAAGUCGUUUAAAUGGAUCAGUGUUGUACAACAUAGGGUACAAUAGGCUGAUCACCUAGACGUACUUAUAAGUGAUAUCGGAUUUACGAUUUUAAUGCCAGGAAGUCCUUUUCAAUGAAAGUAAAAAAAAGUUAUUGGUCCUACAACCAACUCAGUAUAAAUGACCAUUAUAUCAUCUAAAAAAUAUAUUUAAAUUAGGAAAAGUAUUAUUCUGGUUUAUUCAAAGUAUUAUUCUAGUUUAUUCAAAGUGUUUCACAACUAUUGAUCAGUUGUUGAAUGAUAAUCAUAUGAUUCUUGAUUUUGUUGUUGAAUUGUUAUACUUGUCGAGUAAUUAAAUGUUCAUCCUUGCUUAAACUAUAUGAUUUCAUCAAAGGUCGAACGUAUUGAAGAAUCCAGUAAGGAUAAAAUUUGGAAAAAGAGGAAGGAAUAGAAGAUCUUGUGAUAGAUUAAAAUUACUUAAUUAUGACAGUAUGAACAAGUAAUGGUUACAGAAUCUGAGAUUGAACGGAUAUGAUGUAAUAAUAUAGCAAUUACAUUUGUGUCAUUAAGCUUAUAUAGCUAGAUAUAUGUGGAUGUUGUAGUAUCGUGUAACACCUUAUCCAGGGUUUAAAGGUACCCAGGUUUUGGGGCUUCACAGUGGGGGCUGAUUGCUCUCAAUGAUUUAUUUAAAGAUGGAUCUCUGAGGGAGCAUCACUUCCAAUUUGGGUGAAGAACAUCCUUUUUUGCCAAAGUAAUAUCCUAAGUGUGCUCCUAUUUAAAAGAAAAACUAUUACUAUCCUAAGUGUGACCCUAUUUAAAGGAUUCCUCUUAUAUUUUCCCAGACCAAACUGAACUACAGUAGUAUAACAACAAUAAUAUUUAAUAGAUUAUUAUGUUCUCAAUUAACCUUAUCAUUCCCAUCUCAGGCAUUAUCUACUCGAGUGCUUACCUCACCAUACACAAACUUGAUAAUCCGAACCUUAAAAACCAAUAAUUUUUUUGUUUUUAGUUUUUUGUCAGAAAAUCAAGUAACUACAGAAUAAAAUUAACUAAGCUAAAGGAAAAAAGACUUGCAAGAGACAAAAUAGUAAUGUUUAUUCAUUUAAUCGAUACCCAAAACAAAACUGAGACUCUACAAAUAUAUACUGCAAUCUACCAUUCUGUUGAGGCUAACUACCCGACCCACUAGAAGGCUAACACGUGGACUACUGAAGCUGAGCAAAAUGCUGCAGCAAAGUAAUUAACAACUCUAUGGUAAACGAUUGUGUUUCACUAACUGACUCAAUAUUUUAGAUGCUGACAUUCCCCUUUCCUUGAGAAUUUCCUUGCCCACAAGGAUUAAAGUUUGGAAACAGCUUAUUAAUUUGUGCCCAUUCUUCCCAGGUAGCAUCUUCUAGAAUUUUAUUGGACCAUUGUACCAAAACCAAAGUGACUGGUCUAUUGCCUCUUUUGAUCAAUCUUCUGUCCAGAAUUGUAGUAGGCUCCGGCCUCAACUCACCUUCUUCUGAUACUUGAGGAAGCAUAGUCUGAACAACCCUCUUAGCUCCUAUCUUUUUCUUAAGUUGUGACACAUGAAAGACAUCAUGAAUUUUGGUUAUCGUAGGUAACUUCAGCUGGUAGGCUACCUUUCCCACUCUUCUAAUUAUAGUAUAAGGCCCAUAGUAUUUGGCCGAUAACUUUAGAUUCUUCCUGGCACUUAGAGAUAAUUGUCUAUAAGGUUGUAAUUUUAGGAACACUUCAUCUCCCACAUCCAGCUCCCUUUCUGUCCUCUUUUUAUCUGCAUAAAUUUUCAUCCUUUCUUGAGCCUUCUAUAAAUUCUCCUUGAGCAGCUGCUCUCUGUCCUUGACAAAAUUCCUUACUGUGGAAUUAUCAACUUUAUCUAUCAGGUGAUAAUUCAGAAUAGGAGGAUCUGUCCCAUAUAGAGCCUUGUAAGGGGUCAUUCCAAUGGACGUAUGGUAAUUGGUGGUGUACCACCAUUCGGCCAAGGGUAGCCAUCUCUUCCACUGUGUAGGUUUGUGUCCACUCAUACACCUCAAGUACAUUUCAAUGCAUUGAUUUACCCUUUCAGUUUUCCCAUCUGUUUGAGGGUGGUAGGUUGUGUUUAGUUUUACUUUUGUUCCCAAAGCCUUAAACAACUCCUUCCAGAAACUGCUCACAAAUAUUUUGUCCCUGUCUGAUAUAACAGAUUUUGGGGGUCCAUGAAGUUUAACUACCGAAUCCAGAACCAGUUGGGCUGCUUAGGAGGCUGUAAAGGGGUGUGCUAAUGCCAUUAGGUGACAACCUUUGGUGAACUUAUCCACUACUAACAGUAUGGUAUCCAUUCCUUCAGAUUUUGGGAGACCUUCUAUAAAAUCCAUAGUAAUGACUUCCCAUGCUUGACUGGGAAUGGGAAUAGGCUGUAACAAACUUGGGGUUGGUAUAUGCUCGGACUUAUUCCUCGGACAAACCUCACAAUGCCUUACAUAUUCAGUCAAGUCCUUCUUAAGGCUAGGCCAAUAAAAGAUAGUUUUAGCUCUCUUAAUGAAAAAUGUAGUGCCAGAAUGCCCUCCUUCUGGGCCAUCAUGGAUAGAUUCCAUGAUUUUUAGUCUUAAGUCUCCUGCAUUUCCCACGUAAAUUUUUCCCCGUCUUCUUAGUACUCCUUGAAUUCGAAGGAAUUUUGGGAGUUACAAUCAGCUUAGCCAUGAUCUGUUGAGCCUCUAGAUCUCCAUCUAAGCUACUGAUGACUUCUUCUUUCCAGCUGGGACUAACUUCUAUAACUGUAGUGCAGUUCACUUCUGUUUCAUGUUGCCUUGAUAAUACAUCUGCAGCCAAGUUAUCUUUUCCCUUUUUAUACAUAAUGGUGUAAUCAAAGCCCAACAUUUUGGAUACCCACUUCUGCUGCACCAGAGUAGUUAGCUUUUAUUCUAUGAAAUAUUUCAGGGCUUUAUGGUCUGUCUUUAUAAUAAAUCUUUGUCCCAAAAAGUAGGUUCUCCAUUUCUGAACAGCCAUUAUGAUGGCCAACAAUUCCUUCUCAUAAGUUGAUAACCCUAAAUGUUUUUCAAAUAGGGCUUUACUAAAAUAUGCCAAGGGCUUCCCUUCUUGCAUCAAGACAGCCCCUACUCUUAUCUGGCAGGCAUCAGUUUCUAAUACAAAUGGCUUGCUAAAGUCCGGUAAGGCAAGAACUGGGGUGGUUAACAUAGCUUCUUUUAAUUUGUUGAAUGCUUCUUCAGCCUCAGAAUUCCACUUGAAGGCACCCUUUUUGAGCAGGUUAGUUAAUGGUCUUGAGAUGGUACCAUAAUGGUGUACAAACCUCCUAUAAUAACCUGUAAGGCCUAGGAAUCCCCUUAGUGAUUUCAGGGUAUUGGGACUGGGCCACUAGUCAUGGCCUCUAUCUUGGUGUCAUCUGCUGCAACUCCUUCUUCCUUAAUCACAUGUCCCAAGUAUUCCACCCUUGGUUGAGCAAAAUUGCACUUGCUUUUCUUCACAAACAACUUGUUUUCUCUAAGAAGGGUAAACACUUGCCUGAGAUGUGUAAGGUGAUCCUCCAAAGUUUAACUGUAUACCAGAAUGUCAUUAAAAAAUACCAGUACAAAUCUCCUUAGAUGAUGACUGAAAACCACAUUCAUUAUACAUUGAAAAGUGGUUGGGGCAUUGGUUAGCCCAAAAGGCAUUACCAUGAAUUCAUAAUGCCCUUGAUGUGUUUUAAAUGUUGUUUUCUAAAUAUCCUCAUCCUUUAGUCUGAUCUGAUGGCAUCCACUUCUCAAAUCCAACUUGGUGAAAAUUUUGCUGCCCUUGAGCUCAUCCAAAAGUUCUUCUAUCACUGGUAUGGGAAACUUAUUCUUUAUGGUAAUUUUAUUCAAGGCUCUAUAAUCCACGCAAAACCUCCAGGUGUGAUCCUUCUUCUUUACUAGCAGGACAAGAGAAGCAUAAGGGGAUGUGCUAUGCCUAAUGAUCCCACUGUUUAACAUUUCUCUCAUCAUCUUUUCUAUUUGUAUUUUUUGGAUGUAUGGGUGUGACAACCCGAAAAUCGAAUUGUCCAUAAUUUAAGAUUUAAAGAAUUAGUUAUUAAUAAAAUGAAUUUUUAUUAAUAAUAUUUUGUGCUAUGUGUUUAUUAAUCGUUCUACAACCUAUGAUGAUUAUAAAUCGGGAGGAUUCUGGCUACGAGCUAGACUGAACGAGUAAGAAUUUUCAAGGCGAAAAUAAAAAUUUCCCAGGAACAAAAUAUUUUUGAGGAAAAAGACGAAAUAGGCACUAUUCACCAGACAAAACUCUAAGGGUUAGGGUUUGAAUAACCUAAGCCUUUUCUAGAGUUCGGUAUGUCGAAAUGACAUUCCGUCGAAAGAUUUGAUGAUAAUAUAUCGUGAAAUGUUAAGUAAAUCGAUAAAAAUUUUCUCGAAAAACGUAUAAAAAUCGAACGAAAUAAAAAAGAUGAAAAGUACUGUUAUGUACUUUUCAUCUGUUUAACUACGUUAGGGGAAAAUAUGAAGAAAAACGCUUAAUGUCGAAAAGUGUUUUUCAGUUUUUCAGAGAUCUGAAGAAUGCAUAAAAGUUAAACUGUAAAUGAAAGACGAAAUAUCCAAAAAUAUUUGGAUUCCGAGAAUCGCAAUUUUUAAAAUUGUCGGACGAAUCCCGAAAGACGGAACCACGAAGCUUCCAGGAGAAGCUUCGUGAAUAGUAAGGAGGUGUGAAUAGUAACCGAAGGGGCAAAAUGACUAUUUUGCCCCUAACUUUGGAAAUCUAUAAAAAGGAAGCUUAUUUCAUUUGUUUAGGAUUUUGAAAAUCCUCCAACAUUUGAGAGAGAGAUUUCGGAUGAGGAAGAAGGGGAAGAGGAGGAGGAAAAGCUUGCUCGUGAGCAAACUUUAUCCGUCAGAAGGAGAUUAAAGAAGAAAGGUAUCGAAAAACCUAGCCUCUGAAUUAGUUUUUCUUUAAGUUUAUAUGUUAAAAAACAUAGCUUAAUGAGAAUAAGAAGUAAAAGAUGUUAGGAAUGAUUUCAUAUGGUUGAAAUCAUGAGAAAAUGAAGAAAUAAGAAUUAGAAGUUUAUUUUAUAACUUUCUUAAAGAAGUAUAAGAUUCAGAAUGAAUUUGAGCGAUCUGAAUGAAUCAUAUGAACGAUUUGGUGAAAUAAGUAAGGAAUUAUGUUAUAUAACAUCAAAUUCCAAGAAAAAGUGAAAUCGUAAUCAAAAUAUCGAUUAAAAUGAAGAACGAAGGAAGAACGCAAAGAACGCGAAGAAUGUUGUUGAUGGACAAAUUUAAAACCAUCGUAGUGUAAUUGUUGUUGAUGGACAAGUUUAAAACCAUUGCGUAUAAGUUAGAUGCUUAUUGCUUGGUUAGGAACAGGAGAAACGUUCAUGAAGAACGGAUUAAAACGUAACUAUAACGAAGUUAUGGCGAAAAUUUGUAAAAGACGAAUGAGAAGUAGAAAGUGUGUAAAUGAACCCGAAGAGAUAGGGUUUCAUAAGAAUGUAAGAGAACGUAGAAAACGUGAGUUGUGGACUUAAGAACGAACGAAUUCCAAGUUCGAAAGACCGAAUUACGGACGAACGAACGAAGAUCGUUAAAAAUGUAAAACGAAUGCAUGGUGAAGAUUAAGCCAAUCGAAUGGCAUGUUAACGGAUUCAGAACGAAUUUCUGUCCGAGGGGGAUUGAAGUACAAAAGAUAAGGAAGAGAAGGAUUUUGGAAUAAUCUCGUUCCGAGUAAUAAUGAAUAAGUUAUGAGAUCGAGAAGUAAGCGGCUCAAACUAAAUUUAACACUUAGAAAAAUUUUCAAAAGUUAGGGUUUGGCGCCGCAGCGCCAGUCAUGCUUUGUAAGCUGGCGCCGCAGCCCCAGACCGAAGAGUAAAACACUGAAAACUCGCGGUACAGCGCGAGUCAUAGUGCAGAGAUUGACGCCGCGGCGCCAGUGGCGCUGCAACGCGAGGGAAAGGAAGGGGACCGGUGCCGCAACGCCGGUGCAGGGCAAAUCCCAGUAAUGAGCUUUUAACUGAUUAAAACCUGGGGGAAGUGUAACGAAAGCUAAUAAACGUGUAAUUUAUGUAAAGUAACACUUAAUCAAGUGAAUUAAACCUUUAAUGAAGGUUGAACGGAAAGAUUAAAUGAGAUUAAAAGAUAAAGAAUGUAAAUGCUGGUUACAGAAUUGAUAUCCGGGGACCGUAGUCGCGAUAAACGAACGAGAGAGAUUGCUAUGGUUGUGAUUCCUUAGACGUUGAGUGACGAGGGUAAUGAAUAAAUUUCGAUGUUAUGUUGUGGUAAUGAGAGAUAAGUGUAAAGCGUAUAGACGCUAUGAACGCAACGCUGUUGCGAUGGACGAUCGGUCUUAGCAUACAGUGAACCGUAUGGCUUCGACAUUAAGAAAGAGUAAUGAACAUGGGGUUCAUGUAAUGGAUAACAAAAGUAAUAAGUAAGAUAUGAACUAUCAAUAAAGCCGUAACGAACGGUAAUAAGAUCAAUGAAAGCUGAAUGUGAGUCAGAUAAGAAAUGAAUCCUGGGGUUUGGCAUUUAGUUGCCAGAAAGCCAUAAGCAAUAAGAAAUUGACUUAACGAACAUUAUAGUUUAAUAGUUCGGAUAAGUUAAGAUAAGUUUAGGUUGUGGAACAAUCGUAACCUUUAAUGGUUGACAUAUGGGAGUUGGGCUAAACAAUUCCUUAAGAGAGCGAAGGUAUAUACGAAACUGGCAACUGAUCUAACUCACUGUGAUGGCAGUGUAGACGAGAUGAGAACUUGUUUAUUGGUUGUUUGUGGGAAACCACUCAGAAUACCAUAUGGAUUACUAGUAGAGAAGCGAUACGUGCUGAGUCCUAGAGAAGUUAUAAGAAGAAGAUAAAAAAUGUAAAUCAUCAAAGAUGAUGAACGUAUGAGUAAGACAUCUCCGUAUGUCAUAAAGCCGUAAAUCAGUAAAGAAAGUUGGUCGCGUAAACUUAGGUUGCAAGAACGCGAACCCUAAGAAGUAAAGUUAAGCAUAAACCAAUGCGUAAGUCAAGUAUAUGACUAAUUGGUGUACGUGUUAUUUCCUUAUGUGUUUUAUAGGGAUUGGAAUGAGCAGUUCAAUGUAAACUUUAAGUUGUAGCUGUGCGUAAAACAAGUUUUCUAACUUCAUUCAUAUUCUAAAUGAAUGUUAGUUUCUUAAACUUCUCAGAUGUUGAACUUAAGAAGUUCUGUCUAUGUGCGAAUGUGCGAUAUUUGUACAAGGUGGUAGAAUGUAUGAGGUCUUGUGCCACAAUGUGAACACUUCGGUGUUUUUAUGAUAUGAACUGUUCUGUGGUUGAAUUGUUCAAUAUGAAAAUGUUCUGUUUAUACAUGAAUUGUUAUUGUUAAGUUUGUGCUAAUGAUUCUAGCCAGACAGGAUGUGUAUAAAAAAGGUAGAAGAAUGAAAGUAUUUCAAAGUGAAUGUGAUUAAUGUUUUAAAAUGAUAGAAAUCAGAAUUAUUCCUAUUAUUCAAGUUGCUUCAUAACCUUUGUUCGAUUAUCGAAGUUCUAAAGAAACGUUUAAACUCUUGAAGUUGUUUAUUCAACUGCUAUGACUUGCUGGGCAAUUGAAUGCUCACACUUGCUUUAAAUGAAAAAACAUUUUCUGCGUACGAGUAGAAGAACCUAAUGAUCCCAUAAAGAUCAAGCUGAUCGGUAUCCAGAAGAAGUACCACUCAUUAGAUGAAUGAGUGUGAAGAUCAAGCGAAGACUUGUAAUAUAGAAUGAUAGAGUUAAACUAUAGACUAGUUUAAUGAACAGUUAUGUAUCCUUGGUGGCAGAUGAAAGUCACUCGUGUAAGAUAAAAAGAAUAAUGUAAUUAUCAUUAUUUGUACUGAACGAGGUUAUAAGGUAUUAGAACUUGGGAAUUGAGAAUUUAUGUUGUUAUAUUUCAGUAUAUAAUGAUGUAUGUUUGGAUGAAUGUUGUACUCGUGACGUACAGAAUCCGGGUGUGAAGAUAGACUGGAUUCCAGAGUGUUACAAGUUGGUAUCAGAGCUGAUAGGUUAUAAACCAUAGGUAUGAGUACCUAAGGCUAUAAUCGUAGAAAGAAGGAUAAGAAAAUCGUUGAGUUAAACGAUUAAGGAAGAAGAUCACCACGUGAUAAUAUUGAAUCGUAACAACAGAUAUUCUAUUAAACGAUGGAUGGUUUAUAGCCAAUGCUAUAAAUGAAUGGUACUACGAAGUAGUAUGCGAAGAAGAACUCAUAUUGAGUUGUAAAGGAUAGCAUACAAAUUAAAGAAAAUUCGUAUUAAGUAAAGAGAAAAUUAGAAGUUGUAAAAUUUCAAUUGAGGACUUAUGUGAUAGCUGAGUUGUAUGAACCUUUAUUAUGGACCAGAGGUUUAUGCUUUGAUGUAUCUGUGACAACCGAGACUUUGUGAUUUAAUUUUAAAUAUUUAUUGGAUUGAAUAAAUAUUUUUCGAUGAAUUAAUUAUUAGAUUAAAUGAUUAAUUGAUGAAGUUGUGGUAGAUUAAUUUAAUUAUAUGUGUUAUAUUUAUUAAAUUAAUGUGGAGAAUUUUUAUUAUUUGAAGUAUGUGAUUAUGUGAGCUUAUUGUAUUAAAAGAAAUAUUUAAUAAGCCUGAUAGUAUUUUAAUUAAUUUAAUUAUUAAUUAGAGAUUUAAUGAUUGAUAUUAUUAUUAAAUGAGAAAAUUUAAUUAUGUGACUAUGUGCAUUAUUGAGAAAUCAUUAUAUUUUAUUUAAAGUAAAUUAAAUAAGAUAUUGAUUUAUUUUUUAAAGGAGUGCGACAUUAUUUAAACUAUAUGAUAAUGUUUUAUUAAAUUAAAUGGUUUUUAAAUUAUUUUCUUGCUAGCCAAACAUGGCACUAAGGGAGGUUAUGGGCAGUUAACCCAUGACUGGGUAACUGACCACCAACGCGUCAGUUCAUUCUUUUAUUUAUACGUCUUCUUUCUUUUCUUUUCUUUUUUGGCUAAGUCUGGCAUUAAACAGAGAGGGAAAAGAGAGAGUUUCAGAAUUUAGAAAAUUGUUAAGGAGAUUGUGAGUGUUUGAUUGAAGAACAGUUGAGAAGAAUUCCACCUUCUACAAAAGUUAUAUUCUACACUUUGGGUAAUUUUUCCCCAACCCAAUUCUCAUAUUUUACGUUAUUUAAGUUUUGAUAAAAAUGACUUUCAAAACUCUGUAAGGUCUCUGUUAAUUGUAAAGAGUAGGAAUUAUGUGAUUAUGUGUUAAUAUAACAUCAUAGCAUGUUUUAAUAUAUAUUAUAUGGGUUUUUCAUAUCUUCAGUUUCAUGAAAUUAUAUAGUAAAAGAUUGCAGAGUAUGUAAUAUGGCCAUAUGGCCUUAUACGUGAUUUUUAUAUGUCAAACAUAAACUGUUUUGCAAAAUUCACACCCUAACAUGAUUAUGCAUGCUAAAACAAACAAAAUGAUAUUUGAAUGGUUGGAUUUGGUUUUAUAACGAAUCCGUGGCGUUGAAUUUUAGGAAAUUAUGUUCAAAACUUCAAGAACAUCAAGAACAGUAUAAUUUGCACGUUGAAUUUUGUAAUUAUAUGUUUUUAUGGGUGAAAAUCACUCUAUAUAUGUUGGGUAAUGGUUAUGUAUAAAUUCUAGCAUGUGGGUAUAUUUAAUUUGGUGAAAUUUAUGAUUAUGUAGAGUUUAUUUUGCUGAAUUCUGUGUUCUUCGCGAACUGGAAAUUCAGAAUCUGGAGUGUCGUGCCGCGACGCCAACUCCAGGCCUGAGACUCGCGCUGCAGCGCCACGGCGCCGCAGCGCCAAGACAUAGUAUAAAAGUGGCACCGCAGCGCCACUUAGCAGAAUGGUCAGGAUUGAGUUUUUAAAAGUGUUCAAGUAUAGAAAUGAGUUAGUAACUUAGUCUAAUGAUUAUAAAGACUUGUUAGACCUAUAAUGAGAUGUUAAAAUAAAUUCUUAACAUGUCCAUAACACAAUUACGUGUGGAUUGAAUGAUCGAAUGCAUAAUUAGUUAUUUUUCGUGAAGUCUUAAUUUUACACUAAGUGUAAUAAUUGACUAAGUAUAGUCAUUAAUUCGAGUUAAACAAAGAGUAAAGUUAUGUUGUUAGUACGUUAUUAUUGACUGGUAUUGUGAACGUAAUUGGUAUGUAGGAUUUAAUUCAAAGAACGAGUUUGAUUAAGUGUCUAUUUCGUCUUUUUCCCCAAAAAUAUUUUGUUCCCAGAAAAAUUUUAUUUUCGUCUUGAAAAUUCUUACUCGUUUAGUCUAGCUCGUUGCCAGAAUCCUCCCGAUUUAUAAUCAUCCUAGGUUCUAGAACGAUUAAUAAACACAUAACACAGAAUAUUAUUAAUAAAAAUUUAUUUUAUUAAUAACUAAUUCUUUAAAUCUUAAAUUCUGGACAAUCCGAUUUUUCGGGUUGUCACAUUCUUCCUCCCUUAUAAAAAUUCCGUCUUCGUAAUUUCUAAAACCACACCCAUUCCCGGGUCAUCACAUUCACCCAUUCUUCACUUGAUUUCGUCCUCGAAAUUUUAGCUUACACUUCUUCUCAACUUCUCUUCAAAGAAGUUCUUAUCAUUCAAACAUUCCCUAGCCUUCAUAACUUACCAAGAAUCAUGAAGUAGAAGGAAUAAAUAGGAAUAUAAAGAUUCCUUUAAAACAUUUAUACUUUAGCUGAGGGGUCAAAUCGACCAUGAACUCUUACUUGGUUUAAUAGCAUUUCACCUUUAAACCCUUCUAUCACGGUCAGUUUACAAUCACCAAGAAAGCAAACUACCUCUUCCAUACGUAGGCGAUCAACCCGUCGUAUAACCCCAUUUCAGGGUAUGUUCAUCUCAGACUUAAUCAUUAGAUUCCUCACCAAAACAAUUUGGUUCGGCAUAACUCUUCAAAGAAAGCUCGAUUUUCUUAUGACAUGACAUACCAUUUGUCUUAGCCAAAUCAAAUAGCUUAGACCAUACCAAUAAAUUGGACAUCAACUUGAAACAUUCGUCUAGUCAAAUCAAUUGACAUCGACUACUUCUUUAAAUUCUUUUACAAUACAUCAAAACGUUUUAUGACGUCAUGAUACCGUACUUUUCACAGUACGUUGAGGACUUUGUCAGUUUAUGACUUCAUCAUUAUACAUCAUACCAUAGCGGGUUGUUAAUCAUAAGAUCACAUCCAACACCAGGUUCAAUUGCAUUAAUAACUCCAUCCUUUUACCAUCCUUGCAUCAAAUGCACUGAUGAUAUAAAAUUCAUUUUGAUAUUUCAAAUCAAUUUCUGUCUAGCCGAAACAAUUAGCAUAGACAUACCAAGAAUAGUUCUUUUAAAAUCCAUUGGUUCCAAAAGUUGAACCAAUUCUUUCAUUUUCAAAAUGCGCAUACAUAAGCACGAUUUCAAUAAACUUCAAAAUCUAGUAUAGCUAGAUGACUUGGAAUAUCUUAUUCUCCAUCUUCAUUCAUUGUCUUACUUGUAACAAUACUUAAUCUUCUCUAGCACCUUCAAUGCUAAUUCUACUGAAAAUACACGCUUUCAGUCUAAACAUCCCUAUACCUUAGUACAAUCCAUCAACUUACUACACAUUAUGAGUUCAGGAACUUUCCACAAUAAUAUGAAUUUAAGAACUUAUCCUAGUCAGACCAUAAGCGUCCAUUCGCUGAGAAGUUCAAAAACAUACCAUAUUAUUAUGAGUCACGAACUUACCAUAAGUAUGAGUUUCAAGAACUCGCACCUACCUUAUCGUUCUCUACCUAUCACACAUAUAUAUGAGAAAAGAUUCACCUUCUCGUCAUAUACAAUAUUGAUAGCGCAACCAAUUCCAAUGAUUAUCACUGCAAUAAACUGAGUGGUUGUUACCCCAAAGCACAAACUCAUGCCCACACAAAAGUUCAUACAACUCAGCCAUCACAUGAGUCCUAAAUUGAAAUCUUACAACUUCUAAAUUUCUCUUUACUUAAUACAAAUUUUCUUUAAUUCAUAUGCUAUCCUUUAUAACUCAAUCUGAGUUCUUCUUUCCAUACUACUUCAUAGUACCAUUCAUUGAUAGCAUUAGCUAUAAAUCAUUCAUCGUUUAACAGAUCAUCUGUUACUACGAUUCACUAUGAUCACGUGGUGAUUUUCUACCUUAAUCGUUUAACUCAACGAUCUUCUUAUCAUUCUCUCUAUGAUUAUAGCCUUAAGUACUCAUACCUAAGGUUUAUAACAUAUCAGCUCCACUCUGUAACGCCCCGAAAUUUGGUCUAUCCUUAUACCCAAAUUUUGUACGUCACGGUUCCACUUCUUUCCAAACAUACAUCAUUAUAUAAUGAAAUAUAACAACAUAUAUUCUCAAUUCCCAAGUUCUAAUACCUUAUAACUUCUUUCAUUACAAAUAAUGAUAAUUACAUUAUUCUUUACAUCUUACACGAGUGACUUUCAUCCGCCACCAAGGAUACAUAACUGUUUAUCAAACUAGUCUAUAGUUUAAUUCUAUCAUUCUAUAUUACAAGUCAUCGCUUGAUCUUCACACUCAUUCAUCUAAUGAGUGACACUUCUUCUAGAUACCGAUCAUCUUGAUCUUUACGGGAUCCUUAGGUUCUACUAACAUCGUUCGCUAAAAAUGUUUUUUCAUUUAAAGCAAGUGUGAGCAUUCAAUUUCCCAGCAAGUCAUAGCAGUUGAACAAACAACUUCAAGAAUUUAAACAUUCUUUUAAGACUUCAAUAACCAAACAAAGGGUAUGAAGCAGCUUGAAUAAUAAGAAUAAUCUCGAUUCCUAUCAUUUUAAAACAUUAAUCACAUUCACUUUCAGAUUUCUACCUUUUUCAUACUCAUCUUGUCUGGCUAUAAUUAUUAGCACAGACUUAACAAUAAUGGAUCAUGUAUAAACAGAACAUUCUCUUAUUGAACAGUUCAAUCACAGAACAGUUCAUCGCAUAGAAACACCGAAGUGUUCAAGUUGUGGCACAAGGCCUCAUACAUUCUAUCACCUUGUACAAAUAUCGCACAUUCACACAUAGACAGAACUUCUUAAGUUCAACAUCUGAGAGAUUUAAGAAACUAACAUUCAUUUAGAAUAUAAUAGAAGUUAGGAAACUUGCCUUACGCACAGCUAUAACUUAAAGUUUACGCUGAACUGCUCAUUCCAAUCCCUAUAAAACACAUAAGGAAAUAACGCGUACACCAAUUAGUCAUAUACUUGACUUACAAAUUGGUUUAAGCUUAACUUUACUUCUUAGGGUUCGUGUUCUUGCAAACUAAGUUUAUGCGACCAACUUUCAUUACCGGUUUACGGCUUUAUGACAUACGGAGAUAUCUUACUCAAUACGUUCAUCGUCUUUAAUGAUUUACAUUCUUAUCUUCUUCUUAUAACUUCUCUAGGACUCCACACACAUCGCUUCUUUGCUAGUAGUCCAUAUGGUACUCUGAGUGGUUUCUCACAAAUAACCAACAAACAAGUUCCCGUCUCAUCUACCCUGCCAUCACAAUGAGUUAGAUCGGUUGCCAGUUUCGUAUAUACCUUCGCUCUUUGAAGGAAUUGUUUAGCCCAACUCGUAUAUGUCAAUCAUCAAAGGUUACGACUAUACUACAACCUAAACUUAUCUUAACUUAUCCGAACUAUUAAACUAUAAUGUUCGUUAAGUCAAUUUCAAAUUCCUUAUGGCUUUCUAGCAACUAAAUGUCAUAUCGUAGGAUUCAUUCUUAUCUUCUAAGUCAAACAAUCUUUUGUAUACUCAGAACGAUCAUUCAAGUUAAUCAUUAACUCAGCUUCUUUACGUUAUGCGUACUUGUCUUUAAUUCAGCUUUUUCAUCAUUCACGGUUUAAUCAUUGGUCUUCAUUAUCAUACGGUCAAACCAUACAUGGGGUGUAGGUUUUGCCCGUUUAAUAUUCGCGUACACUCAACCUUCACAUCGGUUAAAGUGUUUAAUGCUUACAUUUCAUUCUAACAUUCUCAUCCAACUCAUGUUCGGCUUUCAUUAAUCUUAUUAUCGUUCGCUACGGCUUUCUUGACACCAUUCCUUAUUCUUUCUUAAAAAUUUCGUUAUCCAUUACUUGAACCCCAUAUUCAUUACUCAUUCUUAAUGUCGAAGCAAUACCGUUCGCUGUAUGCUAAGACCGAACGUUCAUCGCAACAACGUUGCGUUCACAGCGUCUAUACGCUUUACAUUUAUCUAUCAUUACCACAACGUAAUAUCGAAAUGUUAUUCAUUACCCUCGUCACUCAACGUCUAAGGAAUCACAAUCAUAGCAAUCCCCCAUGUUCGUUUAUCGCGACUACGGUCCCUGGAUACAGGUUUCGUAACCCGCAUUUACAUUCUUUGUCUUUUAAUCUUGUUUAAUCUUUUCGUUCAACCUUCAUUAAAAGUUUAAAACACUUGAUUAAGUGUUACAUUCGAUGAACUAUAUGUUCAUUAGCUUUUGGUACACUUCCCCCAUGAUUUGAGCAAUUAAAAGCUCAUUACUGAGCUUUGCCCUGCAUCGGCGCUGCAUUGCCGGUCCCCUUUCUUUCCCUCGCGCUGCUGGGCCACUGGCGCCGCGGCACCACUCUCUGUACUAUAACUCGCGCUGCGGCGCGAGUUUCUAGUGUCUGGCUCUCUGGUCUGGCACUACGGCGCCAACUUACAAAGCAUGGUUGGCGCUGCGGUGCCAAGCCCUAUUUCUUGAAAAAUUUUCUAAGUCUUUAAAUUGUUCUGAGACGCUUACUUCCCGAUCUUAUAACUUCUUCGUUAUAACUCGAAACGAGGUCGUUCCAAAGUCAUUCUCUUCCUUAUCUUACGUACUUCAAUCCCCCUCGGAUAGAACUUCGUUCUGAAUCCGUUAACAUGCCAGUCAAUUGGCUUAAUCUUCGUCCUUCGUUUGUUUUACAUUUUUAACGUUCUUCGUUCGUUCGUCCGUAAUUCGGUCAUCCAAACUUGGAAUUUGUUCGUUCUUGAGUCCACGACUCAUGUUUUCUACGUUCUCCUACAUUCUUAUGAAACCUUACAUCUUCGGGUUCAUUUACACACUUACUAAUUCUCGUUCGUCUUUUACAAAUUUUCUCCAUUACUUCGUUAUAGCUACGUUUUUAAUCCAUUCUUCAUGAACAUUUCUACCGUUCCUAACCAAGUAAUAAGCAUCUAACUUAUACGUGAUAGUUUUAAACUUGUCCAUUAACAACAAUUAUCCUAUGAUGGUUUUAAAUUUAUCCAUCAACAACGUUCUUCGCAUUCUUCGUUCGUUCUUCGUUUUUAAUCGAUAUUUUGAUUACGAUUUCACUUUUUUCUUGGAAUUCGAUGAUAUAAAACACCAUUCCUUACUUAUUUCACAGAAUCGUUCAUAUGAUUCAUUCGGAUCGCUCUAAUUCAUUACGAAUCUUAUACUUCCUUAAGAAAUUUAGAAAAUAAACUUAAAAUUCUUAUUUCUUCAUUUUCUCAUGAUUUCAACCAUAUGAAAUCAUUCCUAACAUCUUAUACUUUUUAUUCUCAUUAAGCUAUGUUUUAAACAUAUAAAACUUAAAGAAAAACUAUAUAAAAAUUAUGUUUCAGAUUAUCUUCCUUCUUUAAUCUUCUUCCGUCGGACAAAGUUUGCUCACGAGCAAACUUUUUCUCCUCUUUUUCCUCUUCUUUCACAUCCGAAAACUCUCUCUUUCUCUCUCUCUCUCUCUCUCAAGUGUUGUAGGAUUUUCAAAAUCCUAAACAAAUGAAAUUAAGCUUUCUAUUUAUAGAUUUUCCAAGCUAGGGGCAAAAUAGUCAUUUCGCCCCUCUGGUUACUAUUCACACCUCCUUACUAUUCCACCUCCUUACUAUUUAUGAAACUUCCCUUGGAAGUUUCGUAGUUCCGUCUUUUAGGUUUCGUCCAACAGUUUUUAAAACUGUGAUUCUCGGAAUCAAAAUAUUUUUGGAUAUUUCGUCUUUCCUUUACCGAUUAACUUUUACGUAUUCUUCAGAUCUCCGAAAAACUGAAAAACACUUUUUUGGUGUCAAGCGUUUUUCUUCACGUUUUCCCUUAACGUAGUUAAUCGAAUGAAAAGUACAUAACAGUACUUUUUGUCAUUUUUAUUUCGUCCGAUUUCUGCACGUUUUUCGAGAAAAACUUUUAUCGACUUACUUAACUUUUCACGAUAUAUUAUCGUCAAAUCUUUCGAUGGAAUGUCAUUUUGACAUACCAAACUCUUGAAAAGGCUUAGGUUAUUCAAACCCUAACCCCUAGGGUUUCAUCAAGUGAAUAGUAUCUAUUUCGUCUUUUUCCCCGGAAAUAUUUUGUUCCCGAAAUUUUUUUAUUUUCGUCUUGAAAAUUCUUCCUCGUUCAGUCUAGCUCGUAACCACCAUCCUCUCGAUUAAUAAUCAUCCUAGGUUCUAGAACGAUUAAUAAACACAUAACCCAGAAUAUUAUUAAUAAAAAUUCAUUUUAUUAAUAACUAAUUUUUUAAAUCUUAAAUUCUGGACAAUCUGAUUUUUCGGGUUGUCACAAGUUUAUUGAAUUGCCCAAUUAAAUUCUCAUGUCCCCUUGAGACAAAUCUUUUACAAAUUUGGCUGACAAAGUCUUCUCAUAACAAGCAGGUGUGCUCAUCCUGAAAGGACUGGGUACCAGACAUCUGCUUCACCUUCAAGGUACAAGGCUGCAUAUAACACCUUAGUUCUGGAAUCCAGUAUUGGGUUUAAUUAGAAGAAUUUUUCAUAUUUUUUAAUCCAUCCCCUGGGAUACUUUCCCUCAAACCUUGGAAAAUCUAUAUUGGGCAUUGAUAAAUUCUGAAUGGGAGACUGUGGUCUCACAAGGUUCCCUUCUACAGUUGGGGGCCAGGGAUAAGCAAUGGUAGUGACUGAAGGGGGGCUAUAAUUCCUGAAUAAGCUGGUGGGAAGAGGGUGAUGGGCAUGAUGGAAGGUGACAUACUCAUUACUAGUGAGUUAAUUCCAGGAACUAAAGCAGAUGUUCCCAAUGUAUGAUUCAUAUCAGUAUGAAACCAGGGAUAAGAAGUAACAUUAUUGUAAGGAUUUCUGUGAUUAGUUAGAGGAGUGGUGUUUAUGCUUAUGAGUCGAACAUAAGGUUCAGUGGGUAAAGAGUUAAGGAAAGCAGGAUUAUAUGGAAUCUCAAAUGAUGUAGUAUGUGCAGAAACUGCUAUAUAUGCCUUAUUGAUGUUAUGAGGAGUUGUAUUCAUGACCUGAGUGGAACACGGAAUUGAAAGAGGCGGGUAACUCUGAGCAAGCGACAAUGGAGGUAUAGGAAUAUGAUUACUAACAUUGUAUGCAGGAAGGCCACUAACAAGAGUUUGACUUACUUCCUUGUAUCUGGGUUUUUCUAGAGCGGUGUUAACGCCAAGAUCUUUCUCCAUGUCCCAAUCACCAAGACGCGUCCGAUAUCCUACAUAGUUCAACAAGUCAACACCAAAAGCUUGACGGCUUGACCAUCGGGGGAUAGCUCCGGCGUGAGAGUCAAUAUCGGCGAUCACAAGGUUAACAAUGGAGGAAAAAUAAUGUCUAGUGCCUGAGAGAGAAUAAUCAUAUGAUUGUGUAUGUAUUAAUAUUUUGUUACUUACCUUUUUCUUGUGAUCCUAGCCCCAUACGUACUCCAAACCCGGUUUACCGUGCCACCCACUACCUCCUGACACAUUUCCCCACUCCCGGUCAUUUCAGCCGAAAGUAUGUAGCCUACUUCCUCACCUGCUACCACUAUUUGCCACCGCCGGUCAUCUGAGUCUCAUCCUCAUUAAUGCCAUGCAGAAAGUUGGCUGACAUAAUAGUCAACUAUUAUUUGGCGUAAUGAUUAUCGGUCAAAGCUGGGUUAAGUGACAAUUUGUAUAAUGGGCCAAUUCAAUGACUAAGCCCAAAUAACGGAAAUGACCCAUACGAGCGGAUCCAACCGAAAGGACCCAACGAAAUAAUCAAGUAAUUGGGCCCAACUCAUUCGGACCAACAGGACAAAAGUAACAUAAUCCAAGGGAGGAGCCCAUUAAGUUUGGCCCAAUAAGGAAAAGGAUCAUGGCCCAACAUUGCCCCCUAGUCUUUUAUUAAACAGGGGGUUUAAUGGAAGACUAUAAACAAUAUAGGUCCAUGAUAUAACGAAUUAUGAUAAGUCACAAGAGGCCCAAAGUGAAACUCAUCAAAGCCCAAUUAAGUCGGUCCAAAUGGAUAACAGAGACAGAAAUGGGAGGCCCAAUAGACAUAAGUCCACUCCGGUCAAGAUAUUUAGACCCAAAACCGGACGAUACCUCUUCCAAUUCACCAUCAUUGCUGUGAAUUAAAUGUGCCGCCUUCGAUUACUGUGUAACCGUCAAUAUAAAAGGUAAACUUUACCAAUUUUGACAGUUUUACCUGACAAUUUGAACUUUGAACCUCUGAGCUUUCUUCUCCUUCCCAAAACUUCCUUCUCUGUUUUACGAAAUCUCAACAAUGGUGACUGUGAACUCUAACCAAAAUUCUCCCCUUCGCGCGACUCCCGCUAGCACCGUUUCCCCCAACCCAAACCCUAACAAAGAGGGUUCGAGUUCAAAUCCCCAAUCCACAGCAACCAUGGGGAAGAAUCCGCCCCUGAUCCCUUCUUUGGUUCCUUCCGACUUCUUCAAGGAUGGGGAACAGUUUCCUCACGCCAAUACCCCCUCCACUGUUACGGAAGCUGAGAUACGCAUCCUCCGGACUCGUUAUCAGAUUCCGGAUAUGUACGCUAUAAGGGCUCCCGCUCCUGAAGAACGCAUGUACCAUCGACCGGAUGGUUGGGUCGCCAUGCUGGUUACUUUUCUCGAAAAGGGGAUUCGCCUACCGCUUCAUGCCUUCGUCGUUACCCUCCUAGGGUUCAUAGGAGUGGAUUUUGCCCAGUUGGUGCCUAACUCCUACAUUCACAUACUGGCAUUCAUUGCCUUCUGUCACGAACUAGGGAUUCCUCCCUCUGUCGACAUCUUCUUCACCCUCUUCUCAGCCGGUAGGUCCCGAGAACGAGGUUUUAAAAUGUUGAGCAAACAGUCUCCUCGACCCAACGCCAGAUUUGAGAAGAGACCUCUGAUGGAUACCCCUUCAAGCAAUAAGGGUUGACACGAAAAAUGGUUUUUUGUUACGGGACCCGAAAUCUCUUCUCUUCCUGAUUGGACUACCUCUGAUCGGAUCUCUCCUGACUUUGGGGAUAUCCCCGAAGAGCAUGUGAAGGAAAUAGCAGAUUUUUUGAAGAAGAUUCCUCCGAAGGAAUGGAGUUUUUCGCUUCUGACUAAGCAAGCCUGGCUAUAUGACCAUAAAUGUAAGUUUCUAACAACUUUGUAACAUAGUUUUUUGAGAUAUUUAAGUGACAUGGAUUCUGAUACAUGGUUAUUUGCAGUGUCUUUGAUCAAACCAACUUCUUCGGAAGUAAAAGAAUUGGAAGACUUUUUGGUAGGGAAGAUUACGGAUGCGAGUGAAGAGCCUCCGACUGAAGAAUCUUCCCGAGCUGAUCCUCCUGUCAACGAUCCACCCACUGUUUCUCCCCAGAAUGACAAACCCCAAACUGAUGAACCCAUCGUUCCUGAAGAAUCCCUCAGACCUCGGCGAAAGAAGAGAGCCGCCAAGAAAUCCAAAUCCACCCAGUCGGAAACAAGUCCUGAAAGUGAUCCGAAAACAAUUCCCGAAGCAAUUCCACAAGCAACCCCUUCAUCCAACCCUAGUUCUGCACCUUCCGAAUCUUCCCCAAUUAAGAGAAGCCUACUCGACAUACCUCUCCAUGAUCGGGCGAAGGUUCUCCGUGCUAAGAAGCUAAGGACAAAGAUUACCCCUUUGACUGCCGAUGAGCUCCGAGUUCUAUCAUCUUCGGCUAACAUUCCCCCAAUAGUCCCAACUGAAAUUCAGGUGCCUGACGAUGAACUGGUCGGAUCUGCCCCCAUCUUAUCCCGAAAAAGAAAACAUCCAUCAGAUAGCCAUCCAGGUUCACCUUCGGCUCCCUCACCAGUCCAUGAAUCUACUCCUGUUCGAUCUCCCUCUCCGAAAAAUAUACAUAUGGAUCCCUCGCCAAUUCGCAAUCAAUCCAUGCCUUCUCCUCCAAGACAGUCAACCUCUGAAUUUCAGCAUGACGCUAUGGCCUCUCCAACCAUGUGGCCUCGAUUUAAUGCCAACUUUCCUUUUCAACUGUUUGACGCCUUCGUCCGCGAAACCGAUGACCAUUGAUUCGGGAACAGUUCGAACGGGGAUUUGCUUAGCGAAGGCAUGAGCUACCUGGCGAAGGUAAAUGGUUCUCUCAUUUAUUUCCGUAUUUAUCUUCAUACUUAUACAUCUGAAACUGAUCGAAUAAUACUGGACAUGCGUAGGCGAAUGCUGUGUUCGGGCGUCUGCGUCCAAAAUCCAUCGAAGCUGAAUCCGAAGAAGAGGCAAUGAGGAAGGAGAAUGCCAUCCUGAAGUCUGCUCUGGCUCGGGAAAGGACUCAACGCGAGAGCGUUCUUCACAAGAAUGAGGGUCUUCGGAAAGAUUUGGCUCAAGCCAAAGGAGAUGCGAAGACAUCCAAUGAAGAACUGAAGUCAACUAAAGCACAUUACGAGGAGAUCGUCAAGAUGAAUGUUGAUUUGGUUCAGAGGAGCGAAAUAAGGAUGGAGAAGAUCAAAGAGCUAAAGGUUGAUGCUAAGAUCUUGACUAAAACCAUCCAAAAACUAGAGCUAGCUGAAACUCGUCAUCUGAAUAAGCGCCAGAAGCUUAAAGAAGAAAUCCGAGAACUCAAGGCUCUUCGGGACCUUGGGCCUCCUCUAACCGAUGACCUUCGCAAGCAGAUCUGUGAAGAGUAUCGGAAUUCGGACGAGAUUAACGGAGAGAUCAUGAAGAUAUAUUCUGAAAGCUAUGAGCUCUGCCGGAGUCGUGGCAAGGAGAAGCUGAUUACAGCCAACGUGGAUCCAUCCUUGCUCGACUCUUCAGAUGGCGAAGAUGAUGCCUGAAAUGAAUGCUCUUGUUUUUCCUGAAUUUUAUUUAAGAAUAUUUGUGAAAAUUUCUGUUUAUUUUGUAAUCAAAUUAAAUAUUAAUGAAAGGUGGUCUCAUCCUUUAUGACUUCGGUGCAUUUACUUUCUGCCAAUACUUCAAUAUUAAUUCCACUGAAAAAAUGUGCAAACUGUUUCAUGGACUCAACUCGAACUGUUAAUUAACAACUAAGCAUGUCAUAUAACAGAUAAGAUGAAGUUAAAGAAUGAGGCAUUCCGAACUCGACACUUAGAAAAAAUUUAGGUAAUAAAGUAAAGGGAUACUUAUUAGUUACCGAAGUGUGAGACAGAUCUGCUUCAUUGGGAAUUUGUUUACCCCAAAAGGCCUAACAAAACCAAAAGAUGACAUUUGCCUACCACGAAGGGCCUGACGAAGUCUGAAGGAUGACACUUGCCUACCACGAAGGGCCUGACAAGGUCUAAGUGUCGACAAUUGCCUACCACGCAGGGCCUGACAACGUCUUAAGGAUGACACUUGCCUACCACGAAGGGCCUGACAAGGUCUAAGUGUCGACAAUUGCCUACCACGCAGGGCCUGACAACGUCUAAGGAUGGAGUUUGCUGACCACGAAGGGCCUGACAAAUCCAUAAGGUCCACCUGCCAUUAAGGCUGCCACCGAAUGGUCAGCAAGUCCGCCCGAACCUCCUUACACCACUGAACUGAACAGAAACAAAGACAGGAUUCGUUUGUGAAAAAGGGACUUUUAUUGAUGAUGACGUAAAUAUUUACAGACCUCCGAUGUACUGACAUUAUAUUUACUGAAAGUAUUUCCUAAGUCUGCCGGCGUGCCAAGUAUUUUUAAUUGCUGACCCGUCCAAUGCCUUCAGCCGAUAAGUCCCCGGCUUCGGCACUUCAGUGACUUCAUACGGUCCUUCCCAGUUCGGCAUCAGCUUUCCUAAAUUUUGAGGUGUAGAUCCUUCAACUUCCCUGAGAACAAAAUCUCCCACUUCAAAUCUGCGUAGCUUUACUCCCUUGUUGUAAUGCUUGGCUACUCUCCGUUGAUAGGCUGCCAAUUUGAUCAAGGUUGUUUCUCUGACUUCUUCAAGCAAAUCAAAAUUGGCCUUCAGCCCUUCUUCAUUAUAGAUCUCUUUGAAUUGACUAACUCGAAGACUUGGAGAUCCAAUUUCAACUGGGACUAAGGCAUCAGUACCAUAGGCCAGUCUGAAAGGUGAAUCCCCCGUUGUAGUCCUCGGAGUAGUUCGAUAAGCCCAUAACACACUAAGCAGCUCCUCUGACCAUCUUCCCUUGGCUUCGUCCAAUCUGUGCUUGAUCCCAUUCAGCAGCGUUCUGUUGGUCACUUCAACUUGUCCGUUUGACUGAGGAUGAGCUACUGAAGUCUUUCUGUGCUGGAUCCCCAGUUCUUUCAAAAAUGUUUCAAAUUUCGAUCCCACAAACUGACGUCCAUUGUCCGAUAUUACCACCUUAGGAAUUCCAAAACGAAAUACUACUGAUUCUUUUAAAAAUUUCAAGCAUUCUUGUUCCGUUAUUAACCUAAGUGGCUUUGUUUCUACCCAUUUGGUCAUAUAGUCGAUGGCAACUAUAACAAAACUGACUUGACCUUUUGCUUUCGGUAGCGGACCCAGUAUAUCAACCCCCCAGACAGCGAAGGGUAUAGGAGAUAAGAUCGAGUAUAGCUCUUCUGGUGGCUGAUGUGGUAUUGGACUGUUGAGUUGACACUUCUCGCACUUCUUGACGUACUCAGUCGCUUCCUUGAAGAUGGUAGGCCAGUAAUACCCCUGACGAAGUACUUUGUAGGCUAAUGACUUAGCAGCCAUAUGGUCGCCACAGAUGCCCUCAUGUACUUCUCGUAGAGCAUAUUCAGCUUCAGAUGGAGUCAAACAUUUCAGUAGUGGAGACGAGAAAGCCCUUCGGAACAGAUCCCCAUCAAUCAGAACAAAAUUAGCACUCUUGUAUUUGAUUUUCUUGGCUAGCAUCCAAUCCGAAGGUAAGACGCCAUCUGCCAGAUACUCCAGAUAUGGAGUCAACCAGCAGUUGGUUCGGUCAACGCACAUCACCGAUUCAUGAUGAACACUAGGAUGUUGCAAAAAUUCUAAGUAAACCGACACAUCAAAGACGUUAACAUCCGUAGUGGCUAGUUUGGAGAGUGCAUCAGCAAUGGAAUUGUUAUUACGCUCGACCCCCUGAAACUCGUAGGAUUGGAAAUACUGAAGCCGUUCUUUCACUUCUGCCAAAUACUUGAUCAUUCUUGGGCCUUGAGCUUCGUACUCCCCGGAAAGUUGCUUAACGACUAACUGAGAAUCACUGAAGAUGACUAUUCUCUGCACUUCAAGACUCUUCGCUAGUCGUAACCCUACGAGUACUGCCUCAUAAUCAGCUUCGUUGUUCGUCGCUUUGAACUGAAAUCUGAUGGCCUGUUGCACCUUGAAUCCCUCCGGACUCGUCAGAAUAAUCCUUGCUCCACUGAUGUCCGUAAUAGAAGACUCAUCUGCAUACAGCGUCCACGAACUCUGCUUCUGUUGAAGAACUGCAACUGCUCUGUCAGAUCCUUCAGCUUCUGUCACAAUUUCACCAGCUUCAGAAAACGAAUAUUCAACUACAAAAUCAGCCAAGGCUUGCCCCUUGAUGGCGGUUCGGGGAUGAUAUUCAAUGAAAAAUUGAGAUAGCUCCAUCGUCCAUGCAGCUAAUCUCCCCGAUACCUCAGGUCUGCCCAUAAUCUUCUUCAAAUGCUGAUCUGUGUAUACUAUUACCAAUUUACCCUGGAAGUAUUGCCUAAGCUUUCGACUAGCAGUUAUUAAAGCAAAAGCAAACUUUUCAAUGUUUGGGUACCUUGUUUCAGCAUCCUGAAGGACAUGGCUUACAUAAUAAACCGGGUGCUGCUUACCCCCAUCUUCACGCACCAAAACUGCUCCUACCGCCAACGAACUAGCUACUAAGUACAAAUAUAGAGGCUCAGCAGGAACGGAUUUCACCAACAAAGGCGCCGAAGAUAGGUAGGACUUGAUGCUCUGAAAGGCGUCCUCACACUCCGAAGUCCAUUGGAACGUCUUUGCAUUCUUCGGCCCUUUCAACGUGUCAAAAAACGGCAAACAUCUUUCUGCCGACUUGGACAUGAACCUCCUUAAAGCUGCAAUCCUUCCAGUCAGACGUUGAACAUCUUUAAAUGACUGAGGAGUCUUCAUGCUUAGGAUCGCUUGAAUCUUCUCUGGAUUGGCUUCAAUUCCGCUUUGACUGACAAGAUAACCCAGAAACUUGCCAGCCCCUAGACCGAAAGUGCACUUGGUAGGAUUUAGUCUCAAGUUGUGAUGGUGAAUUGUCUGAAAGCAUUCUUCUAAAUCAUCCAGAUGUUUGCGUACCAGCAUGCUUUUAACAAUCAUGUCGUCCACGUACACCUCCAUAUUCUUACCCAACUGGUAUCUGAAGACGUAGUUCAUCAUCCUUUGGUAUGUGGCCCCGGCAUUAAUGAGGCCGAAGGUCAUUUUCUUAUAGGCAUAUACCGAAUGAUGCGUAAUGAAAGCCGUCUUCAGUAUAUCCUCUUUACACAUGGAAAUCUGAUGAUAUCUAGAGAAUGCAUCCAUGAAGCUCAACAAAGCGUACCCCGAAGUGGCAUCAAUGAGCUGAUCGAUGUGGGGCAGCGGGUAGAAAUCCUUUGGACAAGCUUUGUUUAGAUCGGUAUAGUCGAUGCAGACUCGCCACUUACCAUUCUGUUUCUGGACCAGCACCACAUUUGCCAUCCACUGCGGGUAGUCAAUCUCAAAGAUGAAGUCAGCUGCCAACAAUUUUGCGACCUCUUCAUCGAUGAUCCGCUGACGUUCAGGUGCAAAGAUCCUCCUCUUCUGGCGAACUGGUUUCUUUGACGGGUCCACUUCCAACCGAUGCUCAGCAAUAUCCUUGCUUACUCCCGGCAUAUCCUGAGGUUCCCAUGCGAAGAUAUCAACAUAGCAUCGCAGGAGCUCCAUGAGGUUCGUCCGGAGAGGUUCCGGCAGACCCGAACCUAUUUUCACCAUCUUGUUCACUUUGCCCGGGAUGAGCUCUAUCUCUUCUGUUUCUUCAGCUGGCAUGACCAAUGGUUCGGAACUACUCUCAGUGAAGGUUCAAUCUCUAUCGCCAUGGUCUGCUUUUGUUUCGAUACCCCCACUCCUGAAGUGAUCACAUCAUUUCUAUAACAUCUUCUGGCCAGAUCCAAAUCUCCUUUCACCUCACCAACCCCAUGAGCCGUAGGAAAUUUGAUUUUGAAAUGAGGGAUUGAGGUUACAGCUUGUAAAGCAAUUAAAGUAGGCCUCCCCAAAAUAGCAUUAUAAGCAGUAUCUACAUGCACAACAUAAAAUUUGCAAAUAAUUUCUACCUGUUGAGGGGCCGUUCCGAAGAUGACCGGUAGCUCAAUGGUUCUAGCCACCUUGACCGGAUCAUUACUAAAACCGUACAAAGGAGCCUCCUGCCCUAUCUCCAUCUUCCGCCCGUCUAGAUGCAUCCUUUGAUAAGCGUGGGCAUACAGAAUAUCUACAGAAGACCCAUUAUCUACCAUCAUUCGCUUCAUAUCCACCGAACCCACUUGCGCAGUCAGCACCAAUGAUCCCUCAUGCGGUUCGAUGACUUCCGAAGGGUAAUCUUCAUCAGUAAAGGAGAUUACCGUACUCGGAUAAGGUCUAUCAGUCUUCGGGAGGGUACCCGCCACUGACAUGACCGAAUCCAAGUAACUUCGGCGCUUCUUCCCCACAAGCUUGCCAGAAAUACCCCCAGUGAUGACAUCUAUCACAUGCCUUGCAGGCUGUCCCGGAGCUGGCAACUCUUGCUGGACUGGUUGAGCUGCCGGAAUAGGUCCUCUAUCCUGCUGUUGAUUAGUUCUGGCAGCCACAUACUGAACUAAUGCCCCUCCUUGUACCUUUCUUUCAAUGAAAUCUUUCAAACUAGCACAGUCGUUCGUAUCGUGACCUGAGGCUUGAUGGUAAUCACAAUACUUACGAGGAUUCCCUUUUUUGGGCUUAAUGUUAUCUCGAGGGGGCUCGAAGAUAGGUUGAUCUUUAAUCUGAUCCAAGAUAACAGCCCUAUCGGUGUUAAGUGCUGUGUAUGUCCUAUUUACUCUCUGGGCUGGAGCGGACGAACGUCCUCCACCCUGUCUCCAAUUAUUGUAUCUCUUUGACCCGCCUUCAUAGCGGUUUUUAUUCCCUUCAUUCUUCUUCUGGUCCCCAUCGGUUUUGUCCCGAUCUGUCUCCUUAAGCCGGUCUGAAGAAGGACGUUUGAGGUUGUUCAUGGCUUCCUCCACCACGAUAUAGCCUUUAGCUUUAUCGAAGGCUUCAUCGAGACUCUUCGGGUGGUUAAACAUUAAUUUCUUCACCAACUUUUCUGAUUUGACCAAAUCUAACCCAUUCUGAAAUAGUCCCACAACUUGUAGAUCAUUCAGGUCUGUCACUUGGCCGACUGCUUCACGGAACCGCUUCACAUAUUGGCCCAAAGACUCAUUCGAAUACUGUCGAACUUGAGCCAGCGAACCAGUUGGUUUUCCCCUUCUUUUGUUUCUCCCGAAGCGAGCAUGAAAUUUACUACACAAGUCUGCCCAAGACGAAAUUGAAUCCGAGGGCAAAGUCCCCAUCCACUGCCGGGCAUCCUUUCUGAGCGUCGUGACAAAAGUAUGACACUUAGCAGCAUCGCUAAAGUCAUAAUAAUCCAUCAGUCGAUCGAACGCCUAACUGUGGUCGUAGGGAUCCCCCGAUCCAUCAUAACUUUCAAUGUGGGGCAACUUCUUGGUGGGGUCAGCCUUCUCUUUUAGAAUCUCCGCUGAAAAAGGAGAUGCCUUCUUUCCCGAAGUAUCUUUUAUUUUCUGUACUUCGGCAAGCUGUUUCCGAAGUUCCUUUAAUUCUUUAACCAGAUACUCCACGCCUUCUGGUUGAGAUGAUGCUUCUUUUUCCGGUGACUCCUUCCUCUUCUGAGUGGACCGGUUUCUUACAAUAGAACCUUCAACUUUAGAGGGACUUUUUCGAUGACGAGCGCCUACAGGGUGGUGUACCCUCAGUAGACUCUCGGGAGUAUGACCUCUAGAUAUACUUCGUCUCUGAACUCGGGCGCUAUGGUGAGAAUGUGCAACAACAAGUGCUUUCUUUGUAUUCUCAGGAGUGCGAUCUCUGGAUCGACCUCUUCGUUCAUUUCGACCCUGCUCCUUAGAAUCGACAGGGUGAUGUGCCCUCUUCGAUCUUUGAGGAGUAGGGCUUCGGGAUCUUCUUCUUUCUCGAGGUUGGCCCCGAGACUCACGUCCUAAAUGGGCAGGUUCCUUCCCACUCCGAUGCCCUCGCUCUUCGGACUGAACAUAACUGAACUCUUCAUCCCUCAACUCCGCCAUUCGAGCCAUCUGCUCAGCUAUAUCCUGUCGCUGCUUCACAAGUACCUCCAUGGCCCUAUCUGCUUCAUCUGUCAUCUUAGCCAGUCGUGAGGCCUUUUCGUCUUGGUCAUCUCGAUAUCGAGUUCUAGGCGAGGUGCCUUCUACUCGUUUCCGACCAUGGCCAAACCCUUUCUCCGCCGUGAAAACUAGCUUUCGCUUAACGUUGCCCACAGCCCUCGGCCGAGAAUCUUCAUAUGAUCGUUUGGACACUGUGCUGGUAUGAAUACUUAUUGCAUGUCCCAAACGAUCCUUGACAGACACUCGUGGUACUGAUUCACUGACAGCCAUAGGCUGCCCUUCGGGUGUAGGUGUUCUACUCUUCACCAUGAAUAUUGACGUAGAACAAACACAGCUUGUGAUUGAAAAAUACUCAGGACACUAGAACUCAGCCCUCCUUCUAGCGCCAAUGUUAACGCCAAGAUCUUUCUCCACGUCCCAAUCACCAAGACGCGUCCGAUAUCCUGCACAGUUCAACAAGUCAACACCAAAAGCUUGACGGCUUGACCAUCGGGGGAUAGCUCCGGCGUGAGAGUCAAUAUCGGCGAUCACAAGGUUAACAAUGGAGGAAAAAUAAUGUCUAGUGUCUGAGAGAGAAUAAUCAUAUGAUUGUGUAUGUAUUAAUAUUUUGUUACUUACCUUUUUCUUGUGAUCCUAGCCCCAUACGUACUCCAAACCCGGUUUACCGUGCCACCCACUACCUCCUGACACAUUUCCCCACUCCCGGUCAUUUCAGCCGAAAGUAUGUAGCCUACUUCCUCACCUGCUACCACUAUUUGCCACCGCCGGUCAUCUGAGUCUCAUCCUCAUUAAUGCCAUGUAGAAAGGUGGCAGACAUAAUAGUCAACUAUUAUUUGGCGUAAUGAUUAUCGGUUAAAGCUGGGGUUAAGUGGUAAUUUGUAUAAUGGGCCAAUUCAAUGACUAAGCCCAAAUAACGGAAAUGACCCAUACGAGCGGAUCCAACCAAAAGGACCCAACGAAAUAAUCAAGUAAUUGGGCCCAACUCAUUCGGACCAACAGGACAAAAGUAACAUAAUCCAAGGGAGGAGCCCAUUAAGUUUGGCCCAAUAAAAAAAAGGAUCAUGGCCCAACAAGCGGUAUUAUGAACUGCUUUGAGCACUUCAGAGAUCCUCUUCAUCAAAUCAUCAUUAGAGGUUUAGAGCUUCUGAUUGAGGUUUGCAAUCUUCUCCUCUACUGAACCAAACUGCUCUUUAGUUUGCUCAAAGUUCCUCUCUACCUGAUCUAUUUUGCUUUCAAUGGUUUUCAGAUCCUUCUCGUGCUUUUGUAGGCUAUUUUUUGCGGUGGAAUCAGCCAUAACUUUCGGCCCAGAUUUGCUUUGAUACCAAUUUGUCAGAAAAUCAAGUAACUACAGAAGAAAAUUAACUGAGCUGAAGGAAAAGCGACUUGCAAGAGACGAAAUAGUAAUGUUUAUUCAUUUAAUCGAUACCUAAAACAAAACUGAGACUCUGCAAAUACAUACUGCAAUCUACCAUUCUGUUGAGGCUAACUACCCGACCCACUAAAAAGCUGACACGUGGACUAUUGAAGCUGAGCAAAAUGCUACAGCAAAGCAAUUAACAACUCUAUGCUAAACGAAUGCGUUUCACUAACUGACUCAAUAUUUUAGACGCCGACAUUUUCCUUCUUUUUCAAUUCUCAGCAUAAAAAGUAUCCCUUUUUCCAAUUCUGAAUAACAUCUUAGUUUCAAAAUGCUUUCUAGUUCUAGUAAUUCUUUUAUAAACAAGCUUAACAACAAAAAGCCACAUUUCGGUUGUCAAAUUUAAUUUCAACCCAUCAUUUUAUUCACAUUUAUGAACUUUAUAUAUUCACAUUUACCCAGUAUCAGAUUAUAUACAAAACUAUUUUAAUUUCAAUAUAUAAACUCAAAUACAUGUAUAAAUUUUAUAUACAUACUAAUUUGUUGUGAAGGACUGAAGUGUACCUUAGAAAUCUUGAUUUCGUCUUCAAGUUCAUGAAGUCAGUUAUUCAAUCUACCAAAUUUGUUAAUGUUCUGCUGAUCCUCCCAGGUAACCACUGUAUCAGAAGUUCCGGACUUUUGAUUUCAUUCAAGUUUACAACCCAUAUUCGGAGAAAUCGUUAAAAAUCAAACGAUUAGAAAUGAGAUAAAAACAAAAAAUUAGGGCUUUUAGGGAAUAAACAGAAAUCAAAUUUUGGACUACUCACCUGCUGCAUGUUCGAUGUUAGAGGGUUAGACUGAGGAAGAAAAGUUCCAACAGUACUUCAGAGUUCACUGCACAGACCAGUAGCCCAGAGACCAGGGUAGAUAUUGAAAAAAAUAAAAAAAAUUAUUUGGGAUAUAAAAGUUUUACACAAACAGGCUGUAUAUAUAGUCCAAUCCGAUCUUGAUCUAUACGGUUUGGGCUGCUGACCAAAUAAGACUUGAUGUCGAGAGAAAAUAGAUCAGGUCAGAUCGGAUUAUAAAGUUGGAGUGGUAGUCAGCGGCAGCCUGGCCACGGCGACUUGGCCGGACCCUUCCUUUUUUUUUUCUUUUUUGCAACUUUUAAUUUUAAUAGAAAAAGAAAUUAAUAAACUAACGUUUAAUAAAAUUAAUAUUAAUGCAAGCAAGCCAUUGGCAUAUAAUAAAUAAAUAAAAGUUUGGAUUGGGCUGACAAAUUAUAGUUCUGAACAGAAAAGAAAAUAAUAAAAAACAUAAAUUAGAACAAAAAAGAAAAGAAUAGAAAACUUGAAAUUUUCCUUUGGGUUGUUUCUGAGUUUUUAAUAAAAAAGAAAAGAAAGUUUAAAAUUGAGGGCAUGAGUUAUAAUUUAAAAUUUAUUAUAUUAAAAGUUGAGGUUAAUAUGGGAAUUAUAAAAAUAUUACUUAUUUUAAUUUUUUUUCCAUUCAAAUCAGGCUAAUUUUGGACGAAAAACUUUGGCAGGAACAGUUGUCAAGUUUUCUAUCAAUUUCUUUUCUUUUCCGUUUAUUAAAAAACUCAGAAACAUAAGAAUUGGAAAGAAAAUUAAAAUUUUUUGUCCAUUUCUUUUAUUUUCUCUCCAUUUUAAAACUCAGAAACAGAGCGUUAGAGUUGAACUAAUAGUGAGCUUGACAAGUUACAUAGUGCCAUGGUGGUGUAUAUAUAUAUAUAGUCUGUCCUCUUAUAUUUAUACAACUACAAUUGUGAUAAAGUUAAUCAAUAUGGCUUUUUUCUUUUGGGACAAAGCAAAUACUACAAAUAUUCUGAUUCCUAACACAUCGUGUUGUUUGGUAAUCAAAGAAAGUAUAAAUCACUAUCAUUUGUUAAUAUAAAUAUUAACGUUAACGUUAAGAUUCGUUCACACGUCUCAAUCAUCAAAACGCGUUUAAUCCUAUAUAGAAACGAAGUCACACCAAAAGCUUGACAACUUAUGCCGCCUUGGGAUAGGUCCGGUGUAAGAAUAAGUACAAACUGAAUAAUGUUUAACAAUGGAGAUUUUAUAUUCUAAUAUUGUAAAAUAAUAUGAAUGUGUGUACCUGAUGAUUAGGGUAUAGUCUUGUAUUUAUAGUGAUCACACCUUCUUUCUCGUAUAGAAUUAGGAUUACUCAUUAGGGAUUCCUUAAUGGGAUUGAAUAAAAUCUGCUUAAACACAACUUCAUGCAUAAGAAACAAAAAUUUGCAUCUGACCGGUGCGCCCCGCGUCAUGUCCUUCCUUCAAGCAGCGCGACCCACUUCGCCCCAUCAGUAUGUACUUCUCAUGCAACGCGCCCCGCGCCGUCUUCUACAUAUUCAUGGCGCGCCCUGCUCUGGUAGUGCAAAAUGUCAAAAUUCUUGUGAUUUCUUCAACUGUCAACUCUUGGACACCUUCUGUGAUGCCCCCAAAACAGGUAUACAUCACCCAUCUUGAGUCGCCAAAUACAUGGUACAUAAAUCAAAUACAAACUUAAUUAUACAACUGUCGUGUAAAAUACGACAAAACAUAAUCUAAGAAUUUUAAUAAGAAUAUUGUUAUCUAGACAAUAUCCACACUCAAUGGAGUCCUCAUUACAUUUAUUGUCACACUAUUUAACAGAAUAGUGAGGACUACUAAAGUCACUUAUCAUGGACCGUCACUCCAUUCCCCAACUCGUCCCAGCUAUAUUCUCAUUUCCUGAAGAGAACAGUGAAAAAAAGGGUGAGCUCAACUAGCCCAGUAAGAAAUAUUAUGACUAAGAUAAUGCAGAAUAAAUUAUCCUUAGCCUUCAACAGUAUAACAACUGAUAGAAUACAAUAGACAACAAGUUUUAGAUCAACAACUGCAGUGGAAUAAGCAAUCCAUUAGAAGAGUCAAGUAGAGCAUAAAAACUACUAUCUUCUAUGAUUUAAAAAGUUUUUCAUCAACUUUAUCACUGAGACUCAGCUUAAUAAAUAAAAUCGAAUCAUCCCUGCACCACGGCCAAGGAUAUUCAUGUAACCAUCAAUGGUAAUGAUUAUACCGAAUAAUCCCUGGUCAUAAUCAUACCAACAACUGUCCAUCAAUGAACUACAGGCCAAUGAGGACUUUUACCACAUAAUUCGUCACAUUACGGUCAUGAUUAUACCGAAUAAUCCCUGGUCAUAAUCAUACCAAGUCCAUCUAUAUACGUAAGCUAAAGAUGACUUUAAUCACAAUAUAAGCAUGAGGAUGAUGAUAAUGACAUAAUAAUUCAAUAAAACAAGUUCAAUGAUAAAUUUUAAAGAUUUAUAAUUUAAUUUAUCCAGAAAUCAAUAACGUCCAAAUUGUCAACAUGAUACUGCUUUGUAGAGUAAAAUUCACGAAUAAUAUUCAUGUACCAAAAAUAAUUUGGCCAGAAAAGAAAUAUAUUUUUUGGGUGAAUAGUACCCCGUGAAUAGUACUUCGGGAAUAGUACCUUAUGAAUAGUACCCUGACCCAAGGGCUGUCCCGGAUAAGUCGAAAUCAGCGGUUCUUGGAAGAGCGUUUGUCGUGACUGGUCAAAAUGCGAGGAACCCGAACGAGUUUAGCACGGGUUAGUUAAUUAUAAUUCUUGCGAAGUUUAUACCUUACUAGAUACCGGUUCUACCCAUUCUUUUUUCUCUCUUGCUUGCGCUCAACGUUUGAACUUGACUACGGAGAAAUUAGACUUUGACCUAUUAUUGGAGACUCCGUUAGGAAAAAAUUUCAUUACAUCCGUUGUUUAGAAAUCUAGUUUGAUCCAAGUUGGCACCAUCACAUUACCUGUUGACCUUAUUUCUUUAAAGAUACUUGCUUUUGAUGUGAUUUUAGGAAUUGAUUGGUUAACUACUCAUCAUUCCAAAUUGAUUGCUUUUGUAAGGUUGUUAGUUUACAUAUUCCUUAGCAACCUGUUAUUCGAAUUUAAGCAACCAAACCAUUGAAGUCAAACACUGUCAUAUCAAACCACAAAGCUAUUUUUUUAUUGAAAAACGAAUGUCAAGCUUUCUUAGCCAUGUUAUGGACUUGAACAAUAAUACGUCAGAUUUGAAUGAUAUUUUUGUUGUUAGUGAAUUUCCUGACGUAUUUCCUGAGGAAUUUCUUGGCCUACUCCCAGAGCGUGAUAUUGAAUUUGUAUCGACUUUAAAUCCGGUACAAAACCCAUUUCUAAAAUCUCAUAUCGAAUGGCUCCUAUUGAACUUCAGGAGUUAAAAACACAAGUACAAGAGUUAGUACCCGAGCCUUUAUCUGGUGACUUCCUUUGUGGAAUACACUGAAGCCAGACUCUCCGUAGGGGACGCCAUAUUCGUGCGGUAGUAAACUAAUAGGUGCUAUUGUAACAUGCUAUCCAAGGUUGGGAUAUGAGUCACAGUUGAGAACAACCUAAGUCGACUCAUUUCAGCACAUGUUCUGACCAUGCCAUCCUGGAAAAGCGAACGUGGUAGCUGACGUGUUGAGUAAUCGCUAGUCCAUUAACUCAGCUGACUCGUAGAGAUACAAAAUUCGAAUGGAGCNNNNNNNNNNNNNNNNNNNNNNNNNNNNNNNNNNNNNNNNNNNNNNNNNNNNNNNNNNNNNNNNNNNNNNNNNNNNNNNNNNNNNNNNNNNNNNNNNNNNNNNNNNNNNNNNNNNNNNNNNNNNNNNNNNNNNNNNNNNNNNNNNNNNNNNNNNNNNNNNNNNNNNNNNNNNNNNNNNNNNNNNNNNNNNNNNNNNNNNNNNNNNNNNNNNNNNNNNNNNNNNNNNNNNNNNNNNNNNNNNNNNNNNNNNNNNNNNNNNNNNNNNNNNNNNNNNNNNNNNNNNNNNNNNNNNNNNNNNNNNNNNNNNNNNNNNNNNNNNNNNNNNNNNNNNNNNNNNNNNNNNNNNNNNNNNNNNNNNNNNNNNNNNNNNNNNNNNNNNNNNNNNNNNNNNNNNNNNNNNNNNNNNNNNNNNNNNNNNNNNNNNNNNNNNNNNNNNNNNNNNNNNNNNNNNNNNNNNNNNNNNNNNNNNNNNNNNNNNNNNNNNNNNNNNNNNNNNNNNNNNNNNNNNNNNNNNNNNNNNNNNNNNNNNNNNNNNNNNNNNNNNNNNNNNNNNNNNNNNNNNNNNNNNNNNNNNNNNNNNNNNNNNNNNNNNNNNNNNNNNNNNNNNNNNNNNNNNNNNNNNNNNNNNNNNNNNNNNNNNNNNNNNNNNNNNNNNNNNNNNNNNNNNNNNNNNNNNNNNNNNNNNNNNNNNNNNNNNNNNNNNNNNNNNNNNNNNNNNNNNNNNNNNNNNNNNNNNNNNNNNNNNNNNNNNNNNNNNNNNNNNNNNNNNNNNNNNNNNNNNNNNNNNNNNNNNNNNNNNNNNNNNNNNNNNNNNNNNNNNNNNNNNNNNNNNNNNNNNNNNNNNNNNNNNNNNNNNNNNNNNNNNNNNNNNNNNNNNNNNNNNNNNNNNNNNNNNNNNNNNNNNNNNNNNNNNNNNNNNNNNNNNNNNNNNNNNNNNNNNNNNNNNNNNNNNNNNNNNNNNNNNNNNNNNNNNNNNNNNNNNNNNNNNNNNNNNNNNNNNNNNNNNNNNNNNNNNNNNNNNNNNNNNNNNNNNNNNNNNNNNNNNNNNNNNNNNNNNNNNNNNNNNNNNNNNNNNNNNNNNNNNNNNNNNNNNNNNNNNNNNNNNNNNNNNNNNNNNNNNNNNNNNNNNNNNNNNNNNNNNNNNNNNNNNNNNNNNNNNNNNNNNNNNNNNNNNNNNNNNNNNNNNNNNNNNNNNNNNNNNNNNNNNNNNNNNNNNNNNNNNNNNNNNNNNNNNNNNNNNNNNNNNNNNNNNNNNNNNNNNNNNNNNNNNNNNNNNNNNNNNNNNNNNNNNNNNNNNNNNNNNNNNNNNNNNNNNNNNNNNNNNNNNNNNNNNNNNNNNNNNNNNNNNNNNNNNNNNNNNNNNNNNNNNNNNNNNNNNNNNNNNNNNNNNNNNNNNNNNNNNNNNNNNNNNNNNNNNNNNNNNNNNNNNNNNNNNNNNNNNNNNNNNNNNNNNNNNNNNNNNNNNNNNNNNNNNNNNNNNNNNNNNNNNNNNNNNNNNNNNNNNNNNNNNNNNNNNNNNNNNNNNNNNNNNNNNNNNNNNNNNNNNNNNNNNNNNNNNNNNNNNNNNNNNNNNNNNNNNNNNNNNNNNNNNNNNNNNNNNNNNNNNNNNNNNNNNNNNNNNNNNNNNNNNNNNNNNNNNNNNNNNNNNNNNNNNNNNNNNNNNNNNNNNNNNNNNNNNNNNNNNNNNNNNNNNNNNNNNNNNNNNNNNNNNNNNNNNNNNNNNNNNNNNNNNNNNNNNNNNNNNNNNNNNNNNNNNNNNNNNNNNNNNNNNNNNNNNNNNNNNNNNNNNNNNNNNNNNNNNNNNNNNNNNNNNNNNNNNNNNNNNNNNNNNNNNNNNNNNNNNNNNNNNNNNNNNNNNNNNNNNNNNNNNNNNNNNNNNNNNNNNNNNNNNNNNNNNNNNNNNNNNNNNNNNNNNNNNNNNNNNNNNNNNNNNNNNNNNNNNNNNNNNNNNNNNNNNNNNNNNNNNNNNNNNNNNNNNNNNNNNNNNNNNNNNNNNNNNNNNNNNNNNNNNNNNNNNNNNNNNNNNNNNNNNNNNNNNNNNNNNNNNNNNNNNNNNNNNNNNNNNNNNNNNNNNNNNNNNNNNNNNNNNNNNNNNNNNNNNNNNNNNNNNNNNNNNNNNNNNNNNNNNNNNNNNNNNNNNNNNNNNNNNNNNNNNNNNNNNNNNNNNNNNNNNNNNNNNNNNNNNNNNNNNNNNNNNNNNNNNNNNNNNNNNNNNNNNNNNNNNNNNNNNNNNNNNNNNNNNNNNNNNNNNNNNNNNNNNNNNNNNNNNNNNNNNNNNNNNNNNNNNNNNNNNNNNNNNNNNNNNNNNNNNNNNNNNNNNNNNNNNNNNNNNNNNNNNNNNNNNNNNNNNNNNNNNNNNNNNNNNNNNNNNNNNNNNNNNNNNNNNNNNNNNNNNNNNNNNNNNNNNNNNNNNNNNNNNNNNNNNNNNNNNNNNNNNNNNNNNNNNNNNNNNNNNNNNNNNNNNNNNNNNNNNNNNNNNNNNNNNNNNNNNNNNNNNNNNNNNNNNNNNNNNNNNNNNNNNNNNNNNNNNNNNNNNNNNNNNNNNNNNNNNNNNNNNNNNNNNNNNNNNNNNNNNNNNNNNNNNNNNNNNNNNNNNNNNNNNNNNNNNNNNNNNNNNNNNNNNNNNNNNNNNNNNNNNNNNNNNNNNNNNNNNNNNNNNNNNNNNNNNNNNNNNNNNNNNNNNNNNNNNNNNNNNNNNNNNNNNNNNNNNNNNGCAAUAUCUGUAUUUAAACUCACAGUAUGUAUUGUCGUAUUUCACACGACAUUUGUAUUAUUGAAGUUGUAGUUAUUUCUGUACCAUGUAUUUGGCGACUCAGAAUGGGUUGGGUGGAAUGGACCUAUUUUGGGGGCGUCACACGUACCUGGUAUGAUGAGGAUACCUUAACUUCAUUUCAGAUUCUAUCUCUUGAGGUAUAACCUUUGAGUGUUGAAUACGAUCCUUCUUAUCCAAGAUUUUAACACGUAUCUCCUCAUACGUUAAAUCUUCUGCUAUCUCAUCUAGUUCCGAUCUAAUAACGUGGUUCAGAUCGUCCACAUAUUUACAUAACAUCGAUACGUAAAAAAUGUUAUGAACACACAAUAUACUUAGCGAUAAGACGAGUCUAUAGGCCACAGUUCCUACUCGAUCGAGGAUUUCAAAUGGGCCAAUUAAAUCGAGGGUUGAGAUUUCCUCUCUUCAUCGACUCUUGCUUUUAAAAUAACGCCCUCUUGAAACUUCUUCUUCACAUUCAUCAGCUCCGAGUGUGUAGCUUGAGCGAUUUUAACUUUAUCGUGGAACGUCGAUUCUACUCGUAUUAUUUGACAUUAUCACGUGGGUUCUUAGAGUCUUUAACUCCAUCUUCAUCACUUGUAAGUUAUACGAAAUGGGUUUUUGUGUUAACAACAUCGCACUCGUAAACGCAUAAGUUAUAUGAACAGUUAUGUAUCCUUGGUGGCGGAUGAAAGUCACUUGUAUAAGAUAAAAAGAAUAAUGUAAUUAUCAUUAUUUGUAAUGAACGAGGUUAUAAGAUAUUAGAACUUGGGAAUUGAGAAUGUAUGUUAUUAUAUUUCAGUAUAUAAUGAUGUAUGUUUGGAUGAAUGUUGUACUCGUGACGUACGGAAUCCGGGUGUGAAGAUAGACAAGAUUCUGGAGUGUUACAAGUUGGUAUCAGAGAUGAUAGGUUAUAAACUAUAGGUAUGAGUACCUAAGGCUAUAAUUGUAGAGAGAAGGAUAAGAAGAUCGUUGAGUUAAACGAUUAAGGAAGAAGAUCACCACGUGAUCAUAUUGAAUCGUAACAACAUAUAUUCUAUUAAACGAUGGAUGGUUUAUAGCCAAUGCUAUAAAUGAAUGGUACUACGAAGUAGUAUGCGAAGAAGAACUCAUAUUGAGUUGUAAAUGAUAGCAUACAAAUUAAAGAAAAUUCGUAUUAAGUAAAGAGAAAAUUAGAAGUUGUAAAAUUUCAAUUGAGGACUCAUGUGAUAGCUGAGUUGUAUGAACCUCUAUUAUGGACCGGAGGUUUAUGCUUUGGUGUAUGAUGAUUGGGUAAUAUACCCAUGAAUUGGAUAUAUUUGGGCUUAAUUUAUUGUAUGUUCAAAGCAUUUUAGAGUCGUUUUAUUGUGUUUAAGUUGUGGUAUUGCAGGUUUGGAAGCUGUAGGAACGUUUAGGAGUAAUUGAGCUGAGAAGGGGCAUAGUUGGAAUUUUCUGCCUUACAGCGCCAGGGCUCUCAAUAUAUACUUGAUCCCAGCGCCGGGGCACUGGGCCUUGGCUGCAGUUGACCAGGGACGUGCGUUUGACCUUGCGUUUGACUUGUCUUGAUACACGUCUUCAAAGUUGAUUGGGAAUUGGAGUAUGGAACAAGAUGGGAAGUAUAUAUUGGUUAUUUACAUUGAAUUGGGGAACUCAUCUACACAAUUUGGGAGAUUAAUCAAGGAGCAAGAGGAGAUUUUGAAGACUUGAACUUGGAGUUCUUCUUCUUCUUUAUUCUUUUAAUUUGUGUAAUUCAUUAAAGAUGAUUUUUCAAAUAUUUGUGGUUUUAAUUUUCAUUAUGAACUAAUUUCUUUUAUUAAGAUUCCAAUUGAACCUUUUAUGAUUAUGAAUUAAUUAUUUGAUUUAUUCCAAUUAUUUAUGUUGAAGUGAAUUGUUCAUCUUGCUUUGUGCUGAUUGAUUAAUUAUCUGGCCAAUAAUUACCUUGUUACUUUAGAAGGAAUUGAAAGAGGAAUUCUUGGGUUAGAACUGGGCAUGAUGACAUGUGACUUAGUUAUUUGCACAGUGAAUAAUUAAGUUUGUGAAUGGAAUGGAAAUAUCUCUUCACCGCAUGUAACACAUAAGGAAUUGGGAUUAUAACGAGUUUAAUUCAAUUGUUUUGCAUACGAAUAUAGCAAAAUUAAUAUGGGUUAAAUAGAAGGCAAUUGAUCACUUGGAAAAGGGCUUUUGGCAUUUGAGAAUUCCUGUUAACAAUUCAGUAGGCAUAAUAAUUGGGAUAAUUGGAUAAUUGGUUUAUAGUUCAUAAUUGGGGAUAUUGGAGUCUUAAUCCUUAUUUAUCUGAAUUCAAUUAAAUCUUAGUUUUAUUUAUUUGCUUUCUUUUAGAAUAAUCUCUUUGCAUUGUUUAAUUUAGUUUUCUUAAAUCUAAAAAUCAAUAUUAUUGGUUGUUUAAAUAAAAUUGGAUUGAUAUAGUGCUAGUAGUUGGAGUUUAUUAAUUAGAAUUCUCUGUGGGAUCGACACUUUAUCUUAUCACUAUAUUACUUGUUGACCGUGUAUACUUGCACGUUUGCUUUGAUUGUGAAAUCAACCAACAAGUUUUUGGCGCCGUUGCCGGGGAAUUUCUUUUUUUGUAUUAAUUCCAUAUUAGUUAUAAUCAAUUCGGGCUUAAUUUAAACGUUACUUAUUUUUCUUCUUGUAUUUGCAGGAAUUCUUUGUGAGUGUAUGCACACUAGAUCAAGGGCGAGAAAGGAACUUUUUUCUUAUACGG